UGUGUUUCUACUGGUUUCCUCAUUUCAAUGUAUUGUAGUAAGAAAGGUAAAAAGUAGAAAGUAAACAAGACCGUCAAAAUUAAAUACAAACUUAGAAAAUUACAGCAUGGCCAUUGUUCCAAGUUAAACAUAUAUAGGCACAUAAACUUCCUUUUAUUUUGUCUCCGAAACAAAAAGAAAAAAGAAAAAAGGGGAAAUGAAUGAUCAUCAUAUAGUCUCAUAUGUAUAUAUGAAAGCACAGUUUCGACUGUGUUCGAUCCAAGAGAUUAACAUUCCAAGAUAAAAAGAGUACGUACGUAAGCUAAGUAGCUAGCUAGCUAGCUUGCUUACUCCCAGUUGGCGGCGACGAUGUCAGCAAGGUCAACCACCCUCUGCGAGUACCCCCACUCGUUAUCAUACCACGCGAUCACCUUCACCAUGUCAUCCCCCAUCACCAUCGUCAACGACGAGUCCACCGUCGAUGACACAUCUGUGCACCUGAAAUCCACCGACACCAGCGGCUCAUCGCACACCGACAAUAUCCCCUUGAGCUCGUUGUCCGCGCUCUCCCUGAACGCAGCGUUGACCUCCUCUGCAAACGUCUUCUUCGACACUUGCACCACCAGGUCAACCACCGAGACAUUCGGGGUGGGGACACGGAGGGCAAUGCCGUUGAGCUUGCCCUUCAAGGAUGGGAGCACCAGGGCCACUGCCUUGGCUGCUCCUGUGGACGUAGGGACGAUGUUGAGGGCAGCAGCCCUCGCACGCCUGAGGUCCCUGUGACUGGCAUCUAGGAGACGCUGGUCGCCUGUGUAGGAGUGGGUGGUGGUCAUGGUUCCCUUGAUGAUCCCGAAUUUCUGGUCGAGGACCUUGACGAAGGGGGCCAGGCAGUUGGUCGUGCAGGAUGCGUUGCUGAUGAUGGUGUCGGCGUGGGUGUAACCGUCGGCAUUGACUCCGACGACGUAGGUAGGGAUGUCACCCUUGCCCGGUGCGGUGAUGAGUACCUUCUUGGCUCCGGCGGUGAUGUGUUUUCCAGCUCCUUCUCUGUCCACAAAUACUCCGGUGCCUUCUAUCACUAGGUCUAUCUCCAACUCCCUGCCAGUCAUUUUGAAACCAUCAUUAGUUUUUUUCAAUUAAGGCCUAUAUUAAUGGUAACUAUCUGUCCCACAAGUUGAAAACCUCUUCGAUUUGAAUCAGUUUCACAUCAUUGUUUAUUUAAUAACGAAGAAUUCUUUCAACAAACACUACAUUUAGUGAUGUUAUUGUUUGACAAAUUCAGAAUCUACCAACCAUCAAUCCAAUUACCCAAAUAAGAUCGAUGAUGUCAUAUGAUAUAUAUAAAGCGAAAUGGUUGCACAUUCUUGAUUUUGAGCUCAAGAUCUCUAAACACAAAGUCAAGCAUUACAACGUAUAAUCACUUGAUUACAACUUGUUUGAAAAAUAAGUUUCUCAUCAUUGUUAACGGUUUAGUGGUUAAAAGUUAUUGAUUACUGAAUUUCACUUGGAUGACGGAUGUCACUUACAUUAUCUGUAAUAACCACUGUACAAAUUCGGUCACCAGAUGGGGAUCUGUAGUCGCGGAUAAUAUCCAUCCAAUUAGAUACUACGUGGGAUAUUAUUGUACCUAGUAGUAUCAUGACAUGGGUGGUAAGUGGACCUAACAUCCAAGUCAUUAUACUACAAACAUCUCAAGUACCAUCUGCCUUAGCAACCAAUUCAUUCAAAAUCAGCUCUAAGAAGGAAAAUACACACAAGGCAGGGGAGAUGAGAGGGUAUAUAUAGAUUACUUACUUCCACGGGAGGUCGAGGGGGUUGCGGCUGGAGACGACCUUGAUGACUUUGCCGUCGACGGAAAUGCCGUUGUCGCCGACAGGCUUGACGUCGGCGUCGAAGAUGCCGAGGGUGGAGUCAUACUUAAGGAGGUGGGAAGCCUGCUUGACGCCACCGGUGUCGUUGAUGGCAAUGAGUUCAAGUGGGGAGUCUUUCCUGCCGUGCCAGCACCUCAAGAAGUUCCUUCCGAUUCUUCCGAACCCAUUUAUCGCCACUUUCAGCUUCGCCUCCGUCACCAAUCUCCUGUAUCCCCCACUCCCGCUGUUUCUGACCUGAUGGAUGACAGGGACAAAUGGAUUAAGAAACAGAGUAUAUUAUGAAGAAAACAGAGUAUAUAUAUAGGUGCUAGGGAAGCUUAAUUACAGCAGAGGUCUGGUAGUGGUAAGAAAGGGCUGACAUAAAGUCAUCGGAGGAAGUUCUCCUGCCGAAUGGUGAGCUGCGGAGGCUUGAGAGUUCUGCCACUCCCUUCCCGUUUCCCUGGAAACCUCCAAUUUUGGGGAUUUAAAGUUCAUAUCAGAAGCAUAUAUAUACUCGAAUUAAUAUAUACAAAUUAAGACUAUAUUAUAAUAAUAAUAAUAAGAAGAAGAAGAACAUGAUUAGAUUAAUGAGGUUAUGAGUGACGAUGAGUAGAGAACAAAGGUAUUACCCGAAGAGAUGGUUUGGCUACAGCAAAAGUAGCCGAAGCCAUUACUGAUAAUAAUAUAACAGAGUGAGUGAAGCAGGGAGAUAGGAAAAGAGACAGAGAGGAAAGGAGAAUGUGGGAUAAGAUCUUGUGUGGAAACUUAUAAGAGACAAGUGAUGAUGGGUUUGUUGAUGAAAACAGAAGAGAGAGAGAGGGUUUAAGUUUCAGUGGUGAAUAAUAAUAGUAAUCGGAGGAGGAGGGAGUUUGGAUGAGAUUUUGGAUAGAGCUCCCUUUCAGUGUAUGGCUGUGGCUGCUUCUUCUCCUAUCUAUCUAUGUUUCUCCCCUCCCUACCCUCUGCCCUUCUGUAUCACAAUCUCCUUUCUCCUCUUGUUUUCUUUAUUUUCUUGCUUAUUUUUUGUUCCUUUUAUGUUAUCAUCACUCCCGUAUCUAACUUCAGGCUCAACGGAAUUACCCCCACUGAUAUACUUCUAUCCAGUUGUGUGUGUGGUGGCAUUAUACUGUUCAUCAUCGAUAUAUAACAUUAAUCAAACUAUUCUUUCAUCAAGUGACCACAACAGAUGUUGUGUGUAUUAUUACCAAGUAGCCACCUCCUAUAAAUGACUUGUCAUUCCGACCGGAGUUUGUUUUUGAUGCUUUAUAAUGUUCAGUUUGAUAGUAGGAAUGUGGAGUGGAAUCUUGAUUACUUUCUCAUUUCAGCGGAGAACUUAAAUCUCAACGAAAUGCAUUUUGAAAGCUAACUUUCUCAUUCUCAUCCAAAAUUAGUUUGUCUUAACAAUACUUCCGAGUCUACAUAUUCAUAUAAAGUAACUGAACUUCUGUAGAGUCGUAAAAUGUAAUGUUAAACCAUGAAAUAUGAUAAAUUAUGAUUUCACUUUUAAGUUGAGUGGAUAAAUUGUAGCAAAUUAACGUUAAUGAUUCAAUUAAUUUUAAUAGAUCUGAACCAGUUAAAUGGGUGGUUUAACUUGAAAAUUGGGCCGGACCAUCCGGUCCAAGCCCAAGCAACAUACUAGUUACGAAACAGAACGACCCCUAACUUUUUCCCUUUCUUCCUCUGAUGAGCUGGUCCCCCGUCGGCCGUCGAAUUGCUGCCUCUUCCCGUCCGCCGUCGAUUGCAGGCUUACUGCUUCUUCCUCCCAUUGGACCUUUCCAUUCAGAAUGAAUCCAGUUUCUUGGAUGCCGAUGUUACAUGUCCGAUCAUUCAACAGUGGAGACCAAACAAAGAAUAUGUAGUACUAGUAGUAUUGGGGAAUUAGUUAGUCACGUACUAGUAGGGCGAAUGACAGUUGUGGAGAUUGAAGGAGCAGAUGCGUUUGCUGUAGUAGUAGUAGUUGUUAUUGUAGAAAGUACCAUUAUCAUCAUCACCAUGAAUAUUGCUGCUACUGCAUUAUUCUUCUUCCUGCUCACCGCCAUUUCCCCCCAGGUGAAGUUGCUAUUUUAUAUUAAAACGGUUUGCAUGCAUGUGUAUGUAUAGAUAGUAAACGGUCGACAGUGUUUCUUUCAAAUUUUUUUCCAAUGGCGUACGUUGGAGCAUCCGUAUAGGAAUUAGAGAAUCUAAGCUCCGGGUGGGGAUGAGUUAAAAGAGUUGGACGAUGAUUUCUAUAUUUAAUUCUGGUUUUGUAUAUUGUUUGUUAUCAUCGAUUCGAUUUUAUUUAUUUGUCAUUCACUCCUUACUGUCAUCUUUAUAGAGGAUCCAUUGCUGUUCUGACUUCUCAUCAUAAUUAAGUUUGCUGUGGUCGACAUUAUAAUAAACUGCAUAUGAUGUACAUGUAGACAGUAACUACAAUUAUCAUUCCAAUGUAAUGUAGAUUUGGAUACAACAAUGACCAUCAUUUCUACUUUAAAGACAAUCAUUUGUUACGUCUAAGCACAAUAGAACCUUUGAGGUAGCAAUUAUUGUCGUUGAGGUAUGGGUCGUUGUUGCUCCAAAUCCACAUCAUGUUGGAGCUACAACAUGACAUAAGAUGAGACGUAGUAAUGACAUUGAAUGAUAUGACCAUUGUAAUUUAGGAAUGACACAUCAUAACGUAAAAAUAACGUCUCAUUGCAUCAUGUCAGGAUGUAAUUAUGAAUGACAUCUCGUAACAUUGUUAUCUUCCACCACCGUUCCCAAGUUUCAGUGCCUUAACUUAAGCCUAUCGAGAUGAAAUCGCAAAACUAACAUUACAAUCUCGUAACAAAUUGAAGCGUUUGGAAUUUCCAACUUUUGGAGUUUCCAACUUUUGGAGUUAUGAAUUGACAACGGUUAGAAUGAGGCUUCCUUCCUUUCUUUUCAGCCGUACGUACCACCACCCGCACAUAACAUUGCCUUUUCAAGGUUCAUUUCCUUCUGCCUACAACUAAACCCUAUUUUUCACAUAAUAACUGUACAAAUGAGGGCGACCACAAUAAAAAACCAGAAAGGAAAUGUAACAAACAAUGGCUAUGGUUCAUAAAAAAUUAGACAGCCACCCGAAACUUGCAUGUUCAGAUUUGGGGCAGGGAACAUCGAUGACUGUCCGCAAAUUCUCGAAUAACACGCUUGAGGACUCUUCCCCCUUUCCCUUGCAUAUGUGCAUAACUGUUAUUACCACCAUUGCAGAUGCUCUUGCUCUCCAGAUAUCCGGUUGCAGCCCCAGAGAGGGCCUCCACCCAAACUGGAACCAAUGUAGCAUCUUCUCCUGCCUUUAGAUAUUCCACUGGAAGAGCUUGCACCUGUUCUCACCCACACCCAACCAACCAAUAUUAUGCUUCAAAUAUCAAAACAGACACGAGACGAGACUACAAAAUGCUAAUAAUGUAAGGUUCAGAGAGAGAAACGGACUGCAGCUUGUAGCCAUCCUUGCAAUGAGUCCCAACGGAGCAUCGAAUUCCAAAUUGUUCCAUCACAGAACCUGCAAAUUGCAGCCAACUGUUGCAACACUGUUGCACACUUGUGAACCUAUUCAAUGUAGGAAUCAUCAACAGUUAGUACCACUGUGACUGUAUAGUCGGUAACCAAAACAAAAAAUGAGGCGAGCUAAUGGAGCUUGACAGAGCCCCGAGAACCGAAGACUUUAAGAAUAGUUAACACACGCUUUUCCAUUUUGGUACAACUAACAGAACAGAGAUGCUAGAGGCACGACUUUGUGAUGAUAAACUUACCCGAGACAUUGCUGAAACACCAAGCAAAGCAUAUACGAUAUUUGAUACUAGCCCUUCACCACUACGUGAGAUGAGCUGAAUUGUGAUGCAAUUAAAUGAUUCCUCAGGAAUUGAGUUAAUUGGUUCUAGCAGAAAGGCAAGGCUCACGUCCAAUAAACCUACACAAACAGCUUCAUCAAUAAGAGGAAAUAACUUUUACUUUUAUAUGAAAAAAUUAACCAAGAGAUUGCAAAUAGAAUGAAAGGCCUAACUCAGAAAAGACAACUACAAUAAAUUGACGCAGAUCGCUGUCCUCUAUAUUUUGCACGGUCAAUUCAAUCUCAGAAGAGCAACAGUUAUGGAGGUUGCACUUACAUGAUAAAUAUGAGAUCGCAGCUAAAGCUGCUCCCCGGUGCAUGGCUGUGCAACAUAUAGCGGCCUUUUGGAACGAAAUUUCCAGGAUUGGGCCAGAUUGAGCUAAAACUUGCUGGAAUUUAGCAGACAGCAAGCACAAGUCAUUCAAAUUAAUUAUUCAGUCUCAAGAUUGCAUAAGGCUCUUUAACCUACGUCAUCUAAUACAAGUUAGGUGAAACUAAAUGGAGAUAAAUUUAGAGAAUGAUAGAAACCUUAGUACAGCUUCGGACAAAUGUGGAUGCAAAAUUUGCAUAAGCUUCCACCAAAUCAGGCUCUUGGUCACAUAUAUAUGAAGAAUUCAGACCCAUAACUGAUGCUGCUUGGGUAAAUCUUUCAAAUGUUUUGACAAACAGAGGACCAUAUUCCUCCACAUGGUUGAAUUCUUCGACAACAAUGGAAGCUGCAUAAUGGAAUUGCACACAAAGCAGCCAAAUGACGAAGUGAGCCAUCCAGAAUGCAGAAACAAUACAUUCCAAUUGAAAAGGUACGCAGAAUAGCUUUUCUUUGUUUACCAUUUUGACUCUGUUAAACCUAAGCGCAAUCAGAGGAUAUCAUUUUGAUAUCUUUUGAAAAGGUAUUCUUGAAUGAACCUGACUUCCUAGUGGCUUACCCGUUUUAAUGUAACAUUCAUGAUUUUGGAACGAGAGAAAAUUUGUUGACAUGCAAUCUAGCACGCUCGGAAGUAAAACUAGAAAGUGCUGCCCUGCAAAAAUGACCAAAGUCCCAAUAAAAACCUUAUUCUCAAGAAGGAAAAAGCACGAUACCUGACUUGAAAUUCAAAAAAACUAUCUUGACAAUUACCAGAAGACUGAAUUGCCAGAGAGAGCGCCCGACAAGCUGCAGAAGACAAGUUGCUGUUUUCCAUGUAUUCCGAUCUGAGAAGUUUCUCUAACAGAGGCCAAAACACCCUCAACAAACCCAAGAAAGGGUCAUCUGUAGCUUGCUCAUUCGAUUUCGACAUUGCAAGUUGAGCAAAUACAGUUCCUAUUCUGUGAAUUGGGAAACACGUAUUAAAGUUGGGGCGCCACGAUAAAACAGCUUUUGCUAGAUAAGCAUACACAUAAAGAAAAUUACGCAAGAAAAUUCCAUAGAAGACAGUAUGAGGCACAAGGCCUUCCCAUAUCAAGUAACCAUUUCCCCAGGCAUGAAUCCAAGUAUUCAAUUUCUUCACCUCAAAAUUCAAGGAUGUAAACACAAUGGAUUAUGAUCUAGGAAAGAACAAUUGUAACCCCAAUUAAAUUACAGAAUAUCAGUCUGACUGUUGUACCUAUGUAAUCCUCUGGCUGCGUUGUUCAAAAGUUGAAUAUAAGUAGCUGGAUUUUGUCUGUGAGAAUGAUCUCCGUCUUCAUUAAUCUGAAACAACAGGAAACUCUCUUGAGUACAUAGUCAACACGGCAUCAGUUUCAAAAGACAACAAGUAACGGGAGUUCCUAAUUUAAUUAGUAAGAUCACAAAAAACCAAGAGUUCCUAAUUUUAAUUAACUAGUUGUAUCUCACAUGAAAAAAAAGCACAGAACAAUACAAUGUUUACAAUUUAAUUACUGCAAGGAGACGAGUGCAGGUGUGAGACCUGUUCAGAAAAACCACCACCAUAAGGGUAAGAACGACCUAUUUAUUUUCUUCUUGUUCAAGGUGGCCAGCUGAAGUAAGUUCCUUUCAAUUAAUAUAGGAGAAGCAUUUUUGUCCCUGCCGACUGUUUAAAAGUCAUUUUUUCUUAGAGAUGAAAUUGACACGAAGUCUAUAACCAAAACAAAAUUAGACACCCCAGGCCCAUAGUGUUCUGCCAUAAGGCUUCUUUGAAUGAAAUUGACCUAUUCAUUCAAAUAGAAUAGAAUAAUAGAAGUAUAUAAACAUCUAUAUUGGGCACAAACUGUAUGUCGUAGUGUACUGAAGGUGAACAUAGAGUGAGAGAAAAAGGUAUUCGUAAUCACAGCCACACAUACAGAGACAAACAUAAAUACUGGUUUCCAAUCAGGCAAUGAGCAGAUUGUUGUUGAUGAUUUUCAACUGACUCCGCCAAUUUCCAUUUUUGCUCCCUAAUUUUUCUUAAUGAUUGAUGCUCAAAGAACACAAACGGAUAUAGACUGUUUUAAAAAUGUUAACAAAAGGAAAACAUACUCACAAGCUUUCCUAAGGCAUCAUAGCUCGAUGAAAGCAAUCUAGCCGACAAGGUGCACUUUAGUUCUUCAUUUGGUAUAGAACUAAGGAUUGUGCUGAUUGCACUUAUUACUUCUUCUUCUUCAUCUAAAGGUAAAUGUCUCUUCUCCAAUGCCUGUAACACGGAAUGAUCAGCUAUACAAUGAAAUGGUAGAUCAAAUAGUACUUUGGAAGUAUACAAGCAUAAUGGGAGAACACAUAAACGAGGUAAGAAGCAAAAAGGUUAGAAGUAUGCACUAAAGAACAUAGAUAUGCCUAUCAUAUUUAGGCUUCGCUACGAUAUAUCCAAGUUAAGUGAACAGUGGAACCUACGAGCAUAGGGAGUCACGAAAUUACUAAUCAGCGGCUGAGAAACUAAUAUUCUUGAAGAGACACUAAUUUUAAUCCUUCUUGUUUCAACUAGAUCCAUCCUGUUGUCCAGAAUUUUGAUACGCUACCUCAUGACAAAUAUUCAUAAUUUAUUUCAUUACCUUAUAGCCACAUAUGGUUUCCAAUAGAUAUGAAGAUAUGUUUAGAAUAGAGGUAGAUAAAGAAACGGGGGAGAGAUAGGAAGAUAAUUAUUGAUUCUUGUUAUUAGAUAGGUUAAUAGUUGAUGGGUAUAUAUACCUUAAAAGCAAAUGACUCUUACCAUAAGUAAGAAAAGGCCUCCUGUAUAAGUAGGAGUAUUACAUAAGGAAGUUUCUUCCUACACAAGUAACUAAAUAUAUCUCCUAUUCGGUCUACCUAAUUAGGAAUAAUCAGGAUUAUUCCUACACUCCCCCUCAAGCUAUGUGGUGUAAAUGUUGAACAUCCCCAACUUGUGUAUUAAUUCUUCAAAACCUUGACAAUGACUUGGUGAAAAAAUCAGCGAGUUGUUGACUUGUUAGAACAUAAUCCAAAUUUGUAACUCCAUUUGUGACCUUCUCUGAGAUGAAUUGACAAUCCAUAUCAACAUGUUUAGUUCUGUCAUGAUGAACUAGAUUUCAGACGAUGCUAAUCGCAUAUUUACUAUCAUAAAGAACCUGUAUAGGUGUCUGAGGAGGCAUCUGUAAUUCGCCAAGAACCCGAUGCAACCACAUACCCUCCUUAAUUCCGGAAGUCAAUGCACGAUACUCAGAUUUUGCACUGCUCAGGGACACUACAUCCUGUUUCUUGCUUCUCCAUGUCACAAGAUUCCCCCAUACAUAGGUCUCAUAUCCGGUAGUUGAUCUUUGUUCUGUUAAUUCACUUACCCAACUAGAAUCAGUGUAUAUAGGGACUCCUCUCAUCCUUCUUGACGAAUAGGCCAUAUCCAGGGGUAAACUUUAGAUACUUCAGAAUCCGGUGAACCAUCUCUAGGUGUUCCUCGUUGGGGUUAUACAUAUGUUGACUUGCAAUCCCAACUGAGUAUGAUAUAUCUAGACGAGUAUGAGCCAGAUAAAUGAGUUUACCUACUAAAUGUUGAUAAACCCCUUUGUCAACUGCAUCAAUUCCUUCAUCUCAGCUAAAUUUCUUAUUUGGUUCCAUCGGAUUGCUCAUAGGUUUGCAAUUCAGCAUUCCUGUUUCCUUCAACCAAUCAAGAACAUAUUUCCUCUAAGAGAGAACAAUGCCCUUUUCAGAGCGAGCAACCUCCAUACCCAAGAAGUACCUUAGAUUUCCCAAGUCCUUGAGCUCAAAUUCUGAUGCAAGUCUCUGCUUUAACUGAUUAUCUCGUGCGUGUCAUUCCCAGUGACGAUAAUAUCAUCCACAUACACUAUCAGGACAACAAUCUUCCUUGUAUCUGAGCGUCUUACGAACAUUGUAUGGUCCGAUUGGCAUUGGGUGUAUCCUGCCGACUUGACAGCUUUAACAAAUCAAUCAAACCAGGCCCGUGGUGACUAUUUCAGUCUAUACAAGACUUUGUUCAAUUUACACACUCUUCCACCCGAAGGAAACCCAGGAGGAGGAUUCAUGUAAACUUCUUCAAGCAAUUCUCCAUUGAGAAAAGCAUUCUUUACGUCAAGCUGAUGAAGAGCCCAAUCUAUGUUGACAACUAGACUAAGAAGAUAUCGAAUAGUAUUAAGCUUUGCUACUAGUGCAAAGGUUUCUUCAUUAUUAAUGCCAAGGGUCUGUGUGAACCCCCUGACCACUAAACGAGUUUUGAAUCGUUCAAUCGAUCCAUCCGCUUUAUAUUUGAUAAACACCCAUCGACAAUCAACUAUGCGUCUGUUGGAAGGAAGAUUAACUAAGUCCCAAGAGUGAUUUGUCUUGAGGGCACUUAAUUCUUCUCUGAAAGCCUUCUCCCAUCUUGGAUCGAGUAAGACUUCUUUGAUAUUUUUAGGGACAUCAACCUCAUCGAGAGAAGUGAUAAACGCUCCAUACUCAGGACUCAACUCCUCAUAAGAAAUGUGGUUUCCAAUUGGAUGUUGAGUACAACUUCGGACAAAUUUGCGAAUAGGAACAGGUAUAUCCAGAUCAGUAUCAAACCUAGGGACUGAAACUUCUAGAAUAGCAGUCCUCAGCCUACGAUGACGUUCAGAAUGUUGUUCAGACGGAGCUUCAAUGGAUUUGGCAGAGGCAACUGAUUCGAAAACAGUUGGAGUAUCAAUUGGUUCAGGAGCAGCAGUAGUACUAGACUCCGGAGCUGCAUUAAUGGUGUUUUCAGUAGAAUGAACAGUAGUGUUAUCCUCUAAUGGUAUCAAAUCCCACAAAAGAGUUUCGGAGUCAUUAGCAGUCUCCCCAUCGAACUCAGUGUGGUGAAAGAAAGAUUGGGUUUCAAAGAAGGUACCGUCACGAGUAUUGGACGUUUGUCGAGUAGUGGGAGAAUAGCACUUGUAGCCUUUUGGUGAGGAGAAUACCCAAUAAAGACACUUGUGACCUCUAGGAUCAAGCUUGCUGCGAUGGUUCGAGUUAAUGUGAACAAAGACAGUGCAACCAAGUAUCCGGUGUGGAAGAAUUUUCCGAGGAGGGCUGAAAUCCAGAACUUUACUAGACAUCCUACUGAUCAAGUAAGUGGCCGUCAAGACUGUUUCUCCCCAUAAAUAUUUUGGAACCUGCCUAGCAAACAUNNNNNNNNNNNNNNNNNNNNNNNNNNNNNNNNNNNNNNNNNNNNNNNNNNNNNNNNNNNNNNNNNNNNNNNNNNNNNNNNNNNNNNNNNNNNNNNNNNNNNNNNNNNNNNNNNNNNNNNNNNNNNNNNNNNNNNNNNNNNNNNNNNNNNNNNNNNNNNNGUUUUCAAUAUUUGAAUCUUGGCAUUGAACUGGGUUUGCACCAUGUAAUAGAAGUAUUGAAAUAUGGAACUAGUCUCUGAGUUGGCCUUCAUUAAGUAAGUCCAAUUGUGCCGAGAAUGAUCAUCAAUAAACGUGACAAACCAUCAAGCUCCAUUUAGAUUCUUGACCUUCAUUAAACCCAGAUAUCACUGAUCAUUGAGAAGGGUUGAGAGGGUCGAUAACCUAUUGCAGGAUAUACGGAGCGAGUAUGCUCAGCCAAUUCACACAUUUCACACUUGUAAAACUAAGCCCGUUUAUUACGAAAUAAUGUAGGAAACAAGUGUGAUAGGUACAUAAAGUUUGGAUGUCCAUGUCUAUAGUGCCAAAGGUAAACAUCAUCACUACAAUCAUUUAUUCUAGAAAUUUGAUAUGCUGACUUCUGAAUGUCCUUAUCCAAAUCAUCCUUGAAGAUUUAUAGUCCAUUUGAUAGUUCAACAACUCCAAUAGUCUUCCCCGAUCCCACUUCCUACAAGUGGCAACCAGAAUGGAAGAAUAUAGCCUCACAAUUCAAAUCCGAGGUCAACUGCCGAACAGAGAUAAGAUUGCAGCUUAAUUGAGGGACAUAUAGUACUGGAGAGAUGAUAAGAUUGCCAGGCAGCCGAAUAUAACCUAUGCCUGUAACUGGGGUAAUUCCCCCAUUGGCUACACGAACCCUUCCUUUUCGAUGAUAAGGCUGAAGAUCAUGGAUUAAUUCUCGACAACCAAUCAUUGUGUCUGAAGCACCAGAGUUUGAAAUCCAAGUAUAUUGAUGAGGAGAUUUAGAGUGAGCGGUAAGAGAAUUACCUUGAGCAAAGUUGUUGUUGAUGAAAUCAGCUGGCUCUUUAGUAUUUUUUUCAAAUUGUAAUCGUCAUUCACACCUAUGCUUUCCUAUUUGAGAUCAUACAGUUUGGUUUCGAUCUCUAGCAGUGCAGAGGAGUGGUCCAUCGUCAAAUUAAGUUUAAUCUUUGCAUGAUCCCAGCUAGACUUAGCCAAUGGAUGAAGAAGAUAGAUUUCGCCUAUCUUCGGUAUCAUGGUGGAAAUAAGCCAACCGCGAACAAGGUGAUCUUCAUUGUCCCACUGCUCAACUUCGGAUCAGUUUCAGUUGGUUUCUUCGCUGGUCCGAGAAGCUAAUCAGCUUUACCACGGCAGCUGAUGUAGAUUCGGACGAAAGAAGACCAGUGGAGGUAAUUUUUACCAUCAAGAAGAUAAAUCACAACUCGUCCAGGGUAGGAAUUAUCAGAUGAACUUGGUGGGAUCGACAUGACUCCAAAAUUGUUGGAGCUUCUAUCGUCGUCAGAGGUCACGGUGCUAUCAACCGUGUUCCUGGUCAUGAUGAAUGAUUAGAGUUUAGAGUAAGCGGAAGAGAAUACCAGAGAGAGGCUCUGAUAACAUUUUUAAAAUAAAGGUAAAUAAAGAGACUAAAGAGAUAGAAAAAGAAUUAUUGAAUUUUAUUAUUAAAUAGGUUAACCAGAAGACCAGUGGAGGUAAUUUUUACCAUCAAGAAGAUAAAUCACAACUCGUCCAGGGUAGGAAUUAUCAGAUGAACUUGGUGGGAUCGACAUGACUCCAAAAUUGUUGGAGCUUCUAUCGUCGUCAGAGGUCACGGUGCUAUCAACCGUGUUCCUGGUCAUGAUGAAUGAUUAGAGUUUAGAGUAAGCGGAAGAGAAUACCAGAGAGAGGCUCUGAUAACAUUUUUAAAAUAAAGGUAAAUAAAGAGACUAAAGAGAUAGAAAAAGAAUUAUUGAAUUUUAUUAUUAAAUAGGUUAACUGUGUCUAUUCCGUCUCCCCCCCGCCGGUGAAUAUUAUAUCCUAGAAACAAAGAACUCCUACUAUAAGUAGGAGUUUUACAUAAAGAAAUUUCUUCCUACACAAAUAACUAAAUAUAUCCAAUAACUAAGAAUUAUUCCUACAAAGUAUCACAGAAGAAAAAAGGUGCUUCAGAUGCCAAACUUACAGCAGAAAAGCCGCUCAAAAUAUAUUGAUUGAUAUAUCAUCGUACCCAUAGCCUUAAAAUAAAAAGUUUCGUAAGACAUGUGUCCAAAUAUUACCAAAAUAAAAAGUCAACAAGUCGUUACUUAUAAGAGAAAGCAUAAAAAGGUAAAAAAAUGAAAGACAUGUCUUGAAUAGGGUAUAGAAGACAUGGAUACAAGCCAAUACGACAAGUACAGCAUAACAUAACCCUUUACCUCUCCUAUCCAUAUUAGUAUUUCCAAAUUUGCUGGAUCAUAAAUUGCAGUUAAACAUUCUUCACAAAAUUUACGCAGGGCAGAGGCACAAGCAGUGGAGGAAUGAUUCUCCGAAAUCCCUGCAGCAAGAAAUAAUCUGAAGUUGCAAAUAAGUAUAAAAGCAAACACAAAGGAAGAAUUCAGAAAGACAGACACACAAGAGAUGAAAUAGUUUAGCAAGGAACUUAGAAAGGGAAGGUCAAAAGACUAAAAGGGUAAUAUAUAGAAACAAGAGACAUGAAAUUUUUAAAGGAAAUAGAAAGUAUAAUUUAUCCAUGAAAUAGUAUUUUGUUUGAGAAUUAAGACAUUGAUUCUUACAGCAUAGGUCUAGAAUUAGCUUGUGAUGUCGCUAUCCACUUUGAAUACGAGCCGACAACGUCUGCAAGAGCUAUGCGUACCUAAACAGAAACUUACAAUCAGCCACAGGAAAAAUAAAGCGCAAGAAAAUUUCCUGAAACCAAGACCAAAAUAUCUUCACUAACUGGAUUUACUGUAAAGAAAUUCCCUAGUUUUGUGAAGUUUAAUAUUCAAGAGCAGUCUCACCACGUUCAUGAACCCACUGAGCUCAUCCGGAGGCCAAGUCGAUAACAUCGUGACUAAUUGCAUGAUGCAAGAGAUGUCAAACAUCUGGCUCUCCUGCAAGACUACUUCAGAAACCUGAAAAUAAAAGCAUUUGUAUGCCAUUAAAUACUGUGUGGAAAUUAGGGUAUAAUCUGAAUGCAAAAGUAGGGCUAUUUGCUAUAAUGUCUACGUUUCUGGUGAAAAGGCUUGAAUAACUAGGAAGAUUGAAUAGAAAUUUGAUAUGAAAAGGUUUGAGGAUGAUUUUUCAAAUACAACGGAGUGAUUAAACCACACAACAUCGUGAUACAUAAUGAAACGGAAGAACAAGUUUGUAGGGCAGAGGGGCACAAAAAAACAUAGUGGGCAGCAGUUUAGAACGCAUCCCCCAGGCCACAUAUAUGGGUAAAUAACUCCCACGUCGAGAUAUUGCAGAUGCAUAAUAUCAGAAUGUUCCAUAACUAGAUGUGACAAAUUGCUGGAUCGAUCCAGUUUGGGUAGCGGGUGAAGCGAGCUACCAGUUAGACAUUUUGGCUAAUCAGGUUAUAGGUGGUUGGGUAGGGUUUAUUGGGUUGCGUCAAAUCACAUAAUUAUGAAUAAGUUAGGAGACUAAUAUCAAUGUGUAUGUAGUAUGUUGAGACAGUUGGGUCAUAGGAGUUCUCGUCAAGCAAGUCGUGAAUGAACAUACUUGAAUAGCUCCAGUUAAAUGUUUGGGGAUAUGAAACAACUGCGUAUUCCGAGCUUUAUGAGAGGCAUUAGAUCUACAACUCAGCAAUAAUGUGACAGCACAGUCCUUCAAGUAAAAUUUGAGCAAGGUAAUAAUGUGACCAAGAAAUCAACCUUUCACACAAGGUACAAUCCUGAAAUGUACUUCCUUAAAGCAAAAGAUUCAUUUAACAGCAGCCAGUUUCGAUAAAUGGGACUUACCACAUUAAGAACAAAAAGUUUAGUUUCCACCUCUUUCCAAGGUACUGGUGUGUUUACCGGCGCCCAGCCACCAAAAAGGACCUGCAUAAAUAAUGUAAAAAUAUGAUAAGAAUAUCUAACCACAUGCUGAUAUUAUCUGAAACGAAUAUCUAACCGUACGCCAAUAACCACUCGUGUGCUUGAGUAAUUAACCAGCUUAUUUGAAACUCGUCAUCAAAAGGUAAAUACCAUUUUGUAAAUAAAAUGAACUAAACAUAGCCAAUGUCGGGAAAACAAUUCCAUCAUGUAAAGACUAUAUUCGCAUCUUUGCAUAAAUGAGAACAUAUAAAAUAAUUAACAUCCUGAAUAGGGCACCCGACAGAUCAAGCACCUUCUGCAAAAACCUGGUAGGUCUUAAGAGCUGGCAUAUGUCCACCAGUAGUUCAACAAGAUUCAUCCUGAAAUUGAUGAGACCAUCAGGUAGUUCAAGAACACCAGUCCGCUCAUUAAAUGUGGAUUCAUCAACCUGCCAGAUGCAAAAACUCAACACAUGAAUAUAGUAAACCAGACGAUAACCUUAAAUGUUUGAUUAUAAAAUGCCUAAUAGCUGAGUUCACAGCAGUAGUGUCAUUCACUUGAAUCAAAUAUCAAAUUGCUAGAAAGCAAGUAUUUGAGAUUCUGUGACAAAGGACAAAAGGAAGCAAAAAGACAACACUUUCUAAAGGAAUCUUUACAAAUCUAGACUCCUGAGGUCAUUAGGAAAAUCAUGUCUUUCAUGGUGAAAAUGAUUAUCGAGCUCAACUGUGACAUUAUCUAUACGAAGCAUGGUUGGAAUGAAUAACCCAAAUGAGUGAAGUUUAGACUUUCGGUUAGACACACUCUCUUAUGUUCUGAAGAUAGGCCGCGGUCGUUAGCACAUAUAGCUCCACUUCACCUGAAGAUUCCCUAAGCAUGUUGAGAACUAAUAUGAAUGCUUUAUUCAAGAACUGAAGUGUAAAAAGCCUACAACAUAAAAGCAAAAAAAGGGAAGGGAGAAAAGAUGAAGACUGCAGCCAGCUAAAGAGAGGAUGGCAGGGGAGCAAGAGGAAGAUUAAAGAAUAGAAUAAGACCUGGGCUCGCAAUAUAAGAGCAUCAACCAAUGCCAAGAAGAUGGAAGAGAAAAUAGCUUCAACAUGCUUCUUGUCUAUAGUACCAUUGGACUCGAGGCCAAGUAUAUAGCUCACAAGGCUAGACCUGCAAGAUAAGUUCACAGUUAACAGACAUUGAGAGUAAUUUUCUCGAAGCAACCCACCAAUUAGGCAUUACAUAUCAUAUAAGCAUAACAUUUCAAUUUUAAUACAGCAUUGAUCGAAUAGUAUGAGGGACUGAACACGUUUGUCAAUAGAAAUAUUUAGGAAAGAAAAGCACAUGUUUUCAUCAUAAACAUGACACACUAUGUUUUUCAAUAACCAGAAGUUGGAAACGAAUGAUAUAUACCAGAAUUGCAAUGUUGAGUCUGCGAUCUCCCAGUCUUCACUUGGAUAUGCCAGACAGCUGAUGGUAAAUAAAAUAAUCAGGAAACCCAAAAAUUCUGUAACAGAAAGAAACAUGCAAGAUACUCUCCAUACUGAAUAUACACCAUGCAUCCCCCAGUUUAGUAAAGUUUUAGAAUUCCUGUGUCAUGUAAGAUCAUCAUAACACUAAGAUGGCCUCAAACAUCUCGUGUGCAUGAUAACUGUUUCCCCAUAAUUGCACAGAACUGAAUCCGAAAUGAAAUGAAAACACAGGAUGAAUGAAAUCUCUCAAUAUAUCAAGUACUUCCAAGCAUUUCAAAUCACAGCAUGCGAGCAAGAAAUAGCAAGCACAUGUAGUGGUCAUCUGCAGUAGCUAUGGUUUACAGUUCCCUAUUCACGGAAUAAGGAAUUUGUAAGGCACAGGCACUAUUAUACGUGAUCCCAGUAAUUACGGAUGUAAAAAAUUCAACCAACCUGUAGGAAUAACCCUAAUUAUUCUUAAUUAGGUAGACCGAAUAGGAGAUAUAUUUAGUUACUUGUGUAGGAAGAAACUUCUUUAUGUAAGACUCCUACUUAUGGUAGGAGUCCUUUGCUUCUAAGAUAUAUAUACCCAUCGGCUGUUAGCCUAUUUAAUAAUAAAAAUCAAUAAUUCUCUUCCUAUCUCUCCCGUCUCUUUAUCUAUCUCUAUUCUAAACAUGGUAUCAUCAGAGCCUCUCUCUAGUAUUCUCUUCCGCUUACCCUAAACCCUAAUCAUUCACCAUGACCAAGAACAUGGUUGAUAGCACCGUGACCUCUGACGACGAUAGCAGCUCCAACAAUUCUGGAGUCUAUGUCGAUCCCACUAAGUUCAUCCGAUAAUUCCUACCCUGGACGAGUUGUGAUUUAUCCUCUUGAUGGUAAAAAUUACCUCCACUGGUCUUCUUCCGUCCGCAUCUACAUCAGCGGUCAUGGUAAAGCUGAUUAUCCUCUCGGACCAGAGAAGAAACCAGCUGAAACUGAUCCGAAGUUUGAGCAGCGGGACAAUGAAGAUCACCUUGUUCGCGGCUGGCUUAUUUCCACCAUGAUACCGAAGAUAGGCGAAAUCUAUCUUCUUCAUCCGUCAGCCAAGUCUAUCUGGGACCAUGCAAAGAAGACUUAUUCGACGAUGGACCACUCCUCUGCACUACUAGAGAUCGAAACACUACUAGAGAUCGAAACCUAACUGUAUGAUCUCAAACAAGGAAGUAUGGGUGUGAAUGACUACUACAAUUCCUUGAGCCAUUACUAGAUGCAGCUUGAUGGCUACGAGAUUCAAGCUUGGAAAGAUCCGGAGGAUGCUGAGCUCUUUCAGAAAUUCGUUAAUAAAAAGCGAACUCUACACGUUCUGUUGGGGUUAAAUAACGACCUUGACAAUGCAUGGGGUCGAAUCAUGGCUACAAAGCCUUUCCCUGGGUUGGAGGAAGCUGUCUCCAAAAUCCGCCACGAAGAAUUACGACGCCAUGUUAUGCUAUCUGAAGAUAAACACCACGUUUCUAGUGGCUCCGCUCUUAUCACUAAAUCGGUUAUUGCUAUGGUAAAUAAAAUAUCAGGCCUGCCGAAGCAAAAAGAACAAGCCACCGUUCAUCCUCCUAGCACUAAAUAUUGUGACCACUGCAGGGUUUAUUUUUCACAUAAGGGAGGAAUGUUGGCAUCUUAAUGGAGGCAAACCUCCUGGCUGGAAAUCUGCAAGAGAAAAGCGCGUUGCUGUUGUUGCUGCCACAUCAAAUCCUCGGGCGAAUGCCGUUACCAAUGACAUGUUCUCCCCUGGACAGAUGGAGAUACUACAGAAGAUGCUUACUGCAGCAGUUAGUUCUGAAAAAAAUACUAAAGAGCCAGCUGAUUUCUUCAGCAGCAACUUUGCUCAAGGUAACUCUAUUACCACUCACUCUAAACUCCCCAUCAAUAUACUUGGAUUCCAAACUCUGAUGCUUUAGACACAAUGACUAGUUGUCGAGAAUUAAUCCAUGAUCUUUAGCUUUAUCUUCAGAAAGGAAGGGUUCGUUAGCCAAUGGGGGAAUUGCCCCAGUUACAGGCAUAGGUUAUAUUCGGCUGCCUGGCAACCUUAUCAUCUCUCCAGUACUAUAUGUCACUCAAUUAAGCUGCAAUCUUAUCUCUGUCCAGCAGUUGACCUCGGAUUUGAAUUGUGAAUCUAAAUUCUUCCCUUCUGGUUGCCACUUGUAGGAAGUGGAAUCGGGGAAGACGGUUAGAGUGGUUGACCUAUCAAAUGGACUAUAAAUCUUCAAGGAUGGUUUGGAUAAGGACAUUCAGAAGUCAGCACAUCAAAUUUCUAGAAUGAAUGAUUGUAGUGAUGAUGUUUACCUUUGGCACUAUAGACUUGGACAUCCAAGCUUUAUGUAUCUUUCAUACUUGUUUCCUACAUUAUUUCGUAAUAAACGGGCUUAGUUUGUACAAGUGUGAAGUAUGUGAAUUGGCUAAGCAUAUUCGUCCAUAUAUCCUGUAAUAGGUUAUCAACCCACUCAACCCUUCUCAAUAAUUCACAAUGAUAUAUGGGGCCCAAUGAAGGUCAAGAGUCUAAAUGGAACUUGAUGGUUUGUCACGUUUAUUGAUGAUCAUUCUCGGCACAAUUGGACAUUCUUAAUGAAGGCCAAAUCGGAGACUAGUUCCAUAUUUCAAUACAUCUAUUACAUGGUGCAACCCAGUUCAAUGCCAGGAUUCAAAUAUUGAAAACCGACAAUGCUAAGGACUACUUCAACACCGUUCUUGGUCAGUUCCUUACCAAACAUGGGGUGGUGCAUCUAAACUCGUGUUUUGAAACUCCUCAGCAAAAUGGGAUUGCCAAACGUAAGAAUAGACACCUUUUGGAUGUUGCUGGUGCCUGUACAUUUGCUAGGCAGGUUCCAAAAUAUUUAUGGGGAGAAGCAGUCAUGACGGCCAAUAACCCUAAUUAUUCCUAAUUAGGUAAACCGAAUAGGAAAUAUAUUUAAUUACUUGUGUAGAAAAAAACUUCCUUAUGUAAGACUCCUACUUAUGGUAGGAGUCUUUUGCUUCUAGGGUAUAUAUACCCAUCGGCUGUUAGCCUAUCUAAUAAUAAGAAUCAAUAAUUCUCUUCCUAUCUCUCCUUUGAAGGACGCCAUUUCUAAGAUGUUACCUCAACAUUGUAUCUGUCAAUGCUAGAGCCUCGGUACUUGCCUCAACAAUGAGAGAUGGUGCCUAUGGUAACCCAGCAAUAAAAGAGGGUGUCAGGGGGUGUUACACGUAAGAAUAAGCAAAAGAAUUGGCGAAACUUAGUUACCGCCUGUCCAAUUUCUGACAUUAGGCAUGCAAGGCCACUGAUGACUUUCUCAUCCCUGUUAUUAAUAGCAGAAAGAAGAAGCACCUCCUUGAGAAACUGUAUCCUGUACAGCAGAAUCUGUUGCAGUCCCUGAAAGAACAAAACAGAGAAAAGUAUAUAACUCAUGUUUCAGAUCAAGAGUGUGUUCUUCGUAAAACAGACAAAAGAGUAUUGGACAGGUGUUAUACAUUCAUUUCAUCUAAUACUCGUAUAUUUAGGUGAACUAUUUACAAAUUACAAGUGCUAAAAAUGUAUUCUACGUUAUUAAAUAUGAUGUCCUAAUAGUUCCUAGGAGAAUUUGGUAUCCUGGAUAAGAACGCGGGCCAGACAGGAUCAUAAUUGGUUUUGACAAUAUGCAGCCAUUCACAAAAUCUGAACUAGACAAGAUUGUUCCAGUGGCCUGGGUUGGAAAUUACUAAAAUUAAAACCAAAACAGUCACAAUUUUCCACGCUUUGGUUGGUAAAAGCCCAAAAUGUGAAUCAGAGAAACACACAUACAAGUUGGAAAGUUAGUCUCAUCAUGUUUCGACAAUUCACAGUCUGCAACCAAGAAGAAUUUUCAGAAGCACUUUCAUAGUUUCAGUUGAUAAGAAGAAGAUUAAAAAUACUUAAUUAAUGUUCUUUCAGCUAAGCAUCAUAGAUUAUUCAGUAGCAGACAACAGAUGGAAACGGGACACUUCUUUAACAUAGGAAGGAAGCUUAAUCAAGGAAGGAUACUGAAAAAAUGCUGUUUCAGGAGUAAUAUACCUCAUAUCGACUAGCAAGUUCUAUCAAAACUUCAAUGGCUAAAUCAAAUGAAGAUGAAACCUGCAACGAGAAGUAGAAUUUUGUCGACAUGGAUAUUUCAUAAUGGUUCAAGUUGACUUUUCAGUAUCUUACCUGCAAAGAGUUAAAUACAAAAUUAAGAAGUGGAUGUGUCGCCAAUGAGUCCCGAGAAAUAUCUGAGAAGCCUCCAGCUCGCACCUAAGAAGAAGACAUUUUUUAGAAAAAACGUGUGUGAAAAUUACGAUCAGCAACACCAUAAACAUUCACUGAAAUCAAACUGUAGAGGAUUACAAAUGUACCGCUGUCUUACCCAACUAAGUAGGCAACGAAGAACUUUCCUAUCCCUCUCAUGCAGUUGAACAACAGCAUCAUACUUCUUCUGAGAUUGCUCCAGCAAAAACUCCAGCACCAUAGGAGUAUGUGAAAGAAGCUGUUUCAAGAGUUGAUGGAUUUCGUGAACGGGUCCAGAUAAUUGAUACCAGAUACGUGGGAGAUAUAUAGGAUAUAGUAAAGAUGUAGGACAGAGAAAGAAAGACCUAAACCUCUUGGCCACAUUGCCUUCUACGAAAGGAGCUUACACUACUAUCAGAAUUUUGGGCGUCAACAACUUCUUCUGGAAGAACAGUGAGCAUCUCCAAGAGCGCAACAUUACCAUCAUCAUUGUUCUGCAGCGUCUGUAGACUGUAAAAUAGCUGCUCGAUAGGUUUUUGAUCGUCCACAGCAGUAAGCAUAAGGGAAGCAAGCGCAAGACAUAUUUGUGUCAAAAGCUGCAUGUGGAAUAUUACCGUUAGAAAAAUAAAAACAGAACAGUGGAAUAUCUCGCCAACUCCCUAGUCAGGUAGUGGAGAGAAGUCCAUAAAUAGCAUCCAGCGAAUACCAACCAACAACCCUAAUGAACUGAGAAGGAAUGGUUUGAGUACCUGGGGAGGACCAGAGCUAAAUCUCUUAGCAGCGAAAAGCAAAGCAUUCAGCAAAGAAUGUUUUGGUCCAGACUGCAGGUAACGUCCUUCACUUCGGAUCUGCGGCAGGAAUAACACUUAAGUGACCAUUCCAAAAUUUAUACAGAGUAAGGACAGUGGGCUUCGUUGAAGAGACAGAACAGCAUCACGUUAAGGGAAAGGUUCAUCUAUCAGACUAUCGCUUACCUGUUUCACUCGUUCUCAUACUAACAGCAAUCACCAUAUGGAAAAAAAACCAUGCACAAACAAUAAUUUGCAAACCCAAAACCGGGUGUAUAUAAGCAUUUAGCAAAACAAGAUAGAGACUUGUUUUUCACGGAGAAAAUAACAAACUAGUACUACUUGUUAACGAACAACCUAGUCAAGAAAUUAGCACAAGAGCACAACAGCUGAAUUGCUCACUUACGGUGGAUUACACAAGAUUAAGAGAAGAAAAAACACAAACAGAAGCAGCUCGAUUCAUCAGCUAGUUAUGGAAAUGCAAAUAGAAGGGGGGGGGGNNNNNNNNNNNNNNNNNNNNNNGGGGGGGAAACCUUGCGUUUGAGAAUCUGGGCGGCAAAGAAGUGGAGUUCAGAAUUGGAGAGGAGAGAAGGGAGAUGAUCGGAGGUGAGGAUGGAAGUGGCAACCUCCCAAGCAGAGUCGGUCUGCUGAAAUUGAACAAGCCACUGAUUAGCGGCGACGCGGUUACAGGACUGGGCGUCGUGAUUGAGGACUUGAACAGCCUGGGCUACUUUGAUUUGGAGCUCCAUAUGUUGUUGUAUGUGGAUUCUCCGAAAAGGCUUAUACUUUGGCGUCAGUUGUGAGCAGUAGGCAGUGUUGUCAGAAAUCGCAGCGGGAGAGGAGGCAUUGUGACAGAUGGUAGAGAAGAUGUACUUUGCUUCUUCUUCUUCUUCUUCUUCUUGGUUUUCACUUUACUGGCUCAGUCAGUCCUACCGGUUCAAUCGGGGACAGGCGCUGCUGCUCCUGCCGCUGGGUUUGAGUGGAGGGAUUAGGAAUGUUAUAGAUGUCCAUUAAUAUGUCCACCACUGGCGAGUGUGUGACUACUUGCACGUGCAUGCCUCUCCGCUCGUUUUAUUCCUCUUUCUUUUUUCUUCCACUUCCUCCCUCCCGUUACUGGGUAGUUAUCGUGACCACUCACCCAACUUUUUAAUAUAAACAUUAUAAUACUAAAAUUCUUUUGUUUUCUCUGUGAAGGUGAAUUGAUAGUACGUACUGGGCUGGUUAUCCACUACUUAUCCUAAAAUGAUUGUAAGUAAAUUUUGCUAUUUACCAAUGACGUGGCAUUCAUCUUUUUAUCAUUUUGAACCACUAUUUUGUCCAAGCAUUGCAAAUUACGGGUUGAAUUCCUAUCGAAAGGAAAUUUGUCAACGGUCUCUGUUGAUGCGGCGAGCUUCCACCGUUGUCGACAACUUUUCCGGCCACCUUCCUGCAACUCAGGUGACUUCUCCAAAAUCGCACGAUGAAUCUUCCGACAAAUCAAUAAUCAGUUAGGAAUAGCAACUUAAAAAAUAUCAAUUCCAUCGGCUGAUUUUAAGAGAUAGGAUGUGUUAGAGAAGCUCUAAUUCGAAUGCCCUGAAUCCGAUGCGGAUUUUAGUGCACCUGAACCAGAAUAAAGAAGAGCCACCAUAGCUUAGGAGAAAAGAAAUCAUGAUUUUAUACCGCAAAGCACAUGCAGAGAUGAAUGGUGUGUUGUUAGAAGCUAAACAGGUACAGGUCUAUUUCAUCGCUUUCAUAAAUAAAUUAAUUAAUUAAUCCAACUUUCACAUGAUUUGGCGGAAUCACAAACACCCAUGUGUAGUGUAGUGUAGUGAAGUGUGCCGAUUCCAGUCCAGGGAGGCACACCAAGAAAAAUGAAAGAAACUACUACUACUACAUGAUGUACAAAUGCGUGGUGAUGAUUUUACUUACAAUAAUUCACAGAUGACUUCUUCAUCUACACAAUUCCACUAACCAUACCCUCCACCUUCCAAACCAAUACCAAAAAAAUACGCAACACAUUAAAAAAUAUCGUCACUUGUUUCUUUCUACUCCUAAGAUCAGAGGGUUUGGGGAAGCUCCAGGUGUGAGUCUGCAACUUCCUUAACACCAUCUUCAUCCAUUGAGAUCUUACUCCAUCCUCCAUUCCGCAACGAGAAUACCUUUGGCCUGUCAAACACGCUCCCUCUGAAACCCGUUAUCUUCGACGAUACCAUUGGCAUCACCAGCACUGCCGAUGCAUUAAUCGUAUCUUCUCCAAGGCCAAGCGUCACGGAACAAGCAGUCUGCAACAGCACCAAUGGUUAGGUUAUUAUUACCAUUUCUUCUCAUUCUUCUCUCUUGCAGCAACUCAAAACAUGCACGUACCUUUGCUUUCGACAUUAUCUCGGCCAUCUUCACUACUAUUCCCUGCAUGGGUGACCGUUUCUCCUUAUUUUGUCUCUCUUCUGCCAUGAAUGCAAGCCUGUGGACAAUUUUAUGGAAUACAAAAGCCACUUGAAUAACUCCUGAAAAGCAAAGCAUCUGAAAGGUCCAUUUUUUACAUCAACACAUACCUGUCUGUUUCGCUUGAAGAAACGACUGAAACCAAUGAAGAAGUUUCCUUCACCUCACCACCUGAAAAUUCAACAGCAAUUUUUAUUUUUCCAUUCUCGGUACAACUGGACUCCGAUACUACCUCUGCUAGAUGCCAUACCUCUUGACUCGUCGGGAGCUAACAAAGAAAUGCCUGUGAAUACACACAUCAUUCCUAAUAUGAACAUUGUUGUUCUCAAAGCAUCAAAUACCUGUAAUGAGACAACAGUAAGCUUUGCAAGUCGUAUAAUUGUCUCUGCGUGAGACAGGAUAUAUUUCAUGAUGCAUAAACCACUUAAAAGACAUUUUCAGUCCAUAUGCAACUCCAACAGCAAAAUGCAUGGAGCUGAACUACAAUAGGAUAACAGCUCAGAAAUUCAGGAAGAGAUGGUGACAUAUGUGCUGAAAAUGUUUUUGCAUGCAUCAGUAGAAAAGAUGACAUACUAAUUCAUCAAAAUGCAACAGAAGAGAAAAUCAUUUCGUUGACCCUGCAUGAAACUUCAUGCCAUAUACCCCAAGCCAUCAAAUUACAGCCAGGUAACAAGCAUCAGAAUUGCAAUUACUUAAUCGACAAUAGAAGAGCAGGGAAACUCGCAAAAGACCUGAUACUCCUGGAAGUAAACAAAUCCUGUACAGAUAGAGAAAAAUGUCCACACUAUCUGAAACAUUGGAACGAUUAAAAUUGCGUCAAAUAGUGCCAAUCCUUCAUUCAGCCUUGUCAUCUGCACAAGUAGGCAAUACCAGUUUAGUGUCCAUCUCAACAAACUUUUCACACGUUGAAAGACAGCAAAAUGGGGAAAGAAAGCCCCAUUUGGAUAGCAUACCCAAAAUCCAGCAGUACUAAGAAAUAGAAGAAGCAUAGAGUAUGUGAACCAACUGUGCAACUGAUAGCUGCUAGACAUUGCCAAUCUUAGCAGAUUGGACCUGCAAGAAACAAUUUUACAUUAGAACUAAACCGUACAAGACAUAAUUUGCAACAUUAUAUCUUUUACAUGAAGAGCAAGUGAGCAGCUGUAUCUGCGACAGGUCACUUACAGAGAUUUUGCAAACAACACAGAGCACGAUCCAACUGCACCUGAAACUAAAGCAUAGGAGAACGGAAGUAAUGUUUGCCAGUGUGGUUUAAGGUCUUGUCCUGAGACAGCCACUAGCUGUUCUCCUCUCCUGAAUAUUAUAACACUCCAUAAGAAAAAGGCAACAAUCGAGUGAUGGCUUUUUCAUACUGAAAUACAAAAUGUAUGGGCUGCAAACCCACCUGUAUAUGUAUUGAUGCAGGGCAACAAUUACGAUUAAAAUCACAAGGUAGAAAAGAAAUGUAAUGUUGCUGUAUUUCUCCACCAAUUGCUCUGGAGUAAAAACUGUAAGAAAACAAUUGACAUCAAUUGAACUUAUUAUUUACAUAAAGCAGUCAACUUUACAAGAACGUAGGACAGCACAUCCAUACGUGAAAGUAAUUUUUUUAAUGCAGUCAUAUCAAUAGGGAAAGUCGGAAGGGAAUGCAUGUUACUAUAAAACUAUUAUAAGAAAUAGAAACCGGGAGCUAAUUUAGUAGCUGCAUUGAUAUUAAUGGUCGCAUGGUCCAUGGAAGCAGAUGGCCAACUUCAAUAACUCAUGGCACCUGGUGUUAUAAAUUCCUCCUCUGCAUUGUGUAAAAGCUAGGAAUACUGAUACCAGACAAGUUGCUGACUCUCUAGUGCUACAAACUCAUAAAUGGACACUUUGACCAAUCUUCCCCACAGGUUUAGGCUGAAUACAGAAAGUAAUGCUAGUAAUUUGUAUGUGACGUCCUAAACUAAUUCUGACAUUUUCAAUUGAUAGGGAAACAGAAAUAGUCUAAGGAGAAGAGUUGGACAUGAAUUAACUGAUGAACCAGGUGCAGUUGAUUACCAGGAGAUUGAUGGUUCCCAAAGGCAACAAGGAAAACAUUUCCUAGGACAAUGAAGGCUGUAGCAACAAGAACCCUGCAUCGUGUUGACAAAAAAAUGGGUUCUAGUCAAUGAAACUGGUAACGAAAUCCAAGGAAAUCCAUAAUAGAUACAACAUCUCUGAGAUUGUUUUUCUCAGUUCAGAUUCAACAUACUUGACGGUCACCAUUUUGUUGAACACGAAGUAAGCAAAUGCGAUAUUGGACACGAAUUGAACAGACCCAAGGGCAGCAAGAAGUGACUGGCACAUUGAGAGAAGGUCAGAAAAUCUUAUCAGAAGACAUGAGAAACAUUGACAGAAGUUUCGAUCUGAAAGCACAGCUUCGUAAACUCAAAUAAUAGAGAAGUGUGACUGAUACAAACCUGUGCAGCAUAUCCGAAGGAAACAAAGUUAAGGCAGUUUCCAAGAAAGAAAAACACGAUACCUGCAUAACAAAGCAGAAUCAUCAUUGCCCAAUACAGAAGGCCCUUCCUAUUUAUGGAUGGCAUUUUACAUUCAGUUAGAAAAGUAAAAAGUAAUGAGUCGAGACCUCACCAACCCUCCAACUCUGGAAGUGUAUAACAGACUUCAAUGGAACCUUCCCGCCUAUGCCCUCAAUGUCCAUGAGUGAAUGUCUUUCUCUCUUCAAAUAAUUUUCCAAUGUUAGCUAACCACAUAACAUUCUAGUCUUGAAGAGCACAAACUGCUGGAACAAUGUCUUAAGCGCAAGAUAUGAAGUAAAGAUUGUAAAUACCUCAUUAUGGCCAACUUUAAGGAGGUUAGUCCCGAAGUUGAUGGCAAUGCUGCCGAAAAGGUUAAUGACAGCACCAACAAUCCACUCCCCCAUGGCUUGCACUUCCGAGCUUUACCAGUAUGACCCGUUUUUAAAACUAUGUUGCAUUAGAUUUUAGGACUUUUGGAGGGAAAGGAAUGAGCAGACCUGAACAGCAAAAGUUGUAACAUCAGACCAAUUGAAGAAGGCAUAGAGGUAAAAGAAAUUUACAGAAGGUAGUAUGCUCUUCUAAGUUGUAAAUGCUUUAUCUAUAACAAGAGAAGCGGAAAUGAGAUCUAUUGUAGAAAUUAGGUUCAAUUAUAUGAAUCUUGGUCGGAUCUAAAGAAGGUAGCAGAUCGGUGGACAUAAGUACGUCAGGUUCGUUGAAAAGAAAACAAAGAAAGAUAGCAAGAAGAGAAAGAUGAGAUCUGGUGGUCACCUUAAAAAGAAGGAAACGCCCAGAAUCCGGCAAUGGUUCCGGGCGGGCGGUGAUCGGCGGCUCGUCAAUGACGAGAGACGAAUGGAUUAGGGCUUCGGAUUCUACAAAGAUCCUGAGAUGAUUAUACAAGGGGGAGGAGAUAGGACGAAGGGAGAAAAAUGAAGGACAGAAGAAAAGAAAAAGGGAUGGAGAGUUUUGAAGAAACGAGGACGAAGAAAAAUCAAUUCAAGAGGAGGGGGCGGAGGAGAAAGAGAAGGGUCAACAGCAAAAGUGUGAUGACAUUUUACCCACUACCUGGAAGCAAGUAGGGACAAAGCAACUGUUUAAGCAUUUUAUUCCUACAAUACAAAGACUUCCUAGAACAUUGUAAAUCUACAGCUUGAUGGAUAGAACUCAUGGGGUGGCUUGGAUGUGGGAAUUGAGAUUAUCGAAAGUUUAGUUACUGGAAAGUGAAUUCUCAAUGGGAUUCACUGAUUCAGAUAUCUUUGUUUGGUAAGUGAAUUAUGAGUAGGAAUUAGGCAUUAGGGCGUAGCCCAGACGAAGUAUGUUACGAUGGUAGAGGUAGGGUUAUGAAAUUUUGAUGAAUCUUUCUUGAGGGUCUCCGACCUUCAAGCCUUUAAGCUCCUCUCGAAAAGUGCAGAAAAUGGGGUACCGCAACCAACUCGUCUCCUAUAGCGUUAAGAGUAUAUGGCAUCUGAUAUCUAAUUGGUAUGUAAUAGAUCAUUCAUUGAUGAGAAGCCACUCUUGAACGUAACGGAAGUCGAUCUUUAGAGGCUUUGACCUGAGAAAAACCGGAUUGGCCGUGAGUUAUUUUAAAUAUUGCCACGGAAAUUGUGUACCGAAUGGCGGAACAAAGUAAUGAGAAAUAAAGACCAGGAUUAACAAAACAGAACCUGCGUUGUGAGUGAAUUCUAUCAUCGUUGUCCCCCAAUCAUGUUUCUUGCAAGAGGUACAAUAAGUAAACAAAUUCAACAAUAUUCCCCUUAUUUUCUGUACUCUUGUAUUGUGUAACAAACUCCACUUUUCCUAUACGGCAACAGUUCCAUCCAAUUAAUCGUACACUGCAAAGAAGGGUGAGCAAUUUCUCCAAUUUUCAACAACAACCCAAUUGCAGAAACCCCAGACGCCAUCUGCCCACUAGUUUGCCACUUCCGCACUGAAUUUGAACAACGAACAAACAACCCAAGACAAACAAUUGGCAUUCUGUGCUCUCUCUCUCUACUCACAGCUGCCAAAGAUCAAAGAUGAUACCAAACAACACAAACAUGUAUUCCAUUCCCAUUCCAUACCCCGUUGCAUUCCAGCAUUAUCUGAUCUAAUUACUACGAGUCACUAUAAGACCAAAAUUCAUGAGAUGGAAGAAAUUGCAAAAAUAUGAUUCAUUUGCAGGCAUGACAAAGAUUUGAUUGAUUGGGAAGAAAAUCACCACCAGAUUACUCUGAACUAAUAUAACUCAACCUUUCAAUGGUGCAGUGAAGCUUUAUCAACACAGCAAGUGUAACCAACAACUCUACUCCCCUCCCAUGGCAACAACAGGUGAAAGGAGAACGCCAAGAAUGAAGAUUCAACGUGGUCACUCUUACACAUCAAUAAGCUAGCUAGCUCUAUAUUAUAUUGGAUUCUUCCACUGCUAAACCACAUGAUUGCUGAAUUGAAAGAAAAUACCAACAUUGCAAAAUAUGAUUCAUUUUGCAGGCAUGACAAAGAGUAGAUUGAUGGGGGAAGAAAACCACGUAAAAUCACCACCUGACACACACAGCAACUGUAACCAACAACAAUACUUCCCUCCCAUGGCAGCAGGUGAAAGGAGAAUGCCAAGAAUGAAGCUUCAAUUACACAUCAAAAAGCUAGCUAGCUCUAUAUUGGAUUCCUCCACUGCUAAAACACAUGAUUGCUGUCUGCUACAAAAAGCAAUAAAAGGCAAGCUGGAUUCAGAAAGAUAUCAUCAUAUCAUGCCUGAGUGCCGGUCAAAGCCUUCAACUGAAUAUGAUUGACAUCAGAAGCAGUAGUAGGCAAGGCCUCGUAGGACGAUGAUCCAGAUCUCUUCACCCCAACUGACCUAGCCACCACAGCGUAUACAACAAGCAGGGUAACCACAGCGAACAUCACAUGAAGAAGGAAUGCCAAAUCCAAUAUCGCCACAGCUCUCAACCUCGAAUCUUCGAUAUCGCACUUGGUCGAGCCUUCCACUCCACUCACCACAUCCAGUAACCUGUGGCAUCCUUCCGGAAUGAAAGCCUCCACAUAGAGGGAGAGCCCCGUCUGGAGCACCCACAGUCCUUGCAGGCACACGGCAGCGCCAAGUCCGAGAUCUGCCAAGAACAACCUCGGUUGGCAAGCUACGAUCAGGCAGAGUAGGGAUGCGAGGGCGGAGAUUUGAGCGGAGACGGAGUCGCACUUGGCCUGGAGAUCGGAAGUCUGGACGGAGGCGGAAGAGGAGGAGACGUAGUAGCUGAGGAAGAAGAUGGCGGAGGCUAGGGCGAAGAAUAGAUCAGGUGGGAGAGGGAGGAAGGAGGUGGAAUCGGAGACGAGGAGGGCGAGGGAGAGGAGGAGGAAGAGGAAGACCACGGCGGAGGACUGGAGGGAGGUGAAGCGGUGGACGGGAGUGUGGCCUUUGAGGAGAGGGUCAGAAUCGGAGGAGAUUAGGGUUUGGUGAGCGAAGGCGACGAGGAGGAAGAGGAUGAGAAGGUAGAGAGGGAGGUGUCUGAGUCCAGAGGAGGAGGAUGGAUUGGGGAAGGGAUGGAAGGGUUUGGCAACGUACGACUGAGGGGAUUUGAGGUAGGACCGAGCUGAGGAAAUGAGAUGGUAUAAUCCCAGCGAUAUCAGGGCCGAGGACGAGAGUAUCUGGUAGAAUAGACCCGCCAUUGAUGAGUUUGCUUUGAUGGAUUCGCUGUGUUUUUUUCGCCCUUUUGUUUGUUUCUUCACGUCUCCGAUCGUCGGGGGCUGCUGUUUUUUUUUUUCAAAACUAGCUGCUCAAAUAUUAUUAAUGGUGAUUCAAUUUGUAAUAAAUAUCGUUUACAAACGGAUUACAUCAUUCAGGAGGAGUCACAUCGAAGUAGUUGGACACAAGAUGAUAAGAACGUCGAGCUAACUCGUGCGUCACCCCAUUUUUAUUUCUCCUAAUCCAAUACACCGAAUAUAACAAAUUAUUAUGCAGGAUAGCUCUACAAACCGCAAUAAUAAUACCAAACUCUGAAAGAUUCUCAUCACUUCCAUUAACUGUUAAUGUCACUCUUUAGUUAUCUGUUUCGAAAAUACAUUAAUCAUAUCCCAUGUCCGCAAUCUAUCCCAACGUAGUUUACAAUGCUGCUCCCCUUUUUUCUUCACAAUAAACGAAGGAAGACGAGCAAAAAUAUUAUUUUUAAACUAAGCUGCCGUCUGAGGGACUCCGUUACCGUGACUAAAGGUUUAAGAGGAAGACGGAGAAGACUGGCACCGCCACCGGCCGAUUCACAGUCCAAUAAUAGAAUGGAGAGAGACCAUACAGUUGCAAAUGUAGACAUCAAGUUAUUUUAUACAUUCCAAUCAUAGAAAACGAAUAAUCAUUACCUAAGAAUCCGUUGGUGAGGAGUGCUGAAUUUGAUUUCGGAACCUAAAUAUCUCCAUUACGCAACUCUACCAUUAGAACAAAGAAAGUAUAUAAGAUAUGAUUGGGAGAAGAAUGCACAAGGUAUUUGCAUAAUAUCUAAGUUAACUAUACACAAGAAUCAAGAUUCAUAUACAAACAACCUUAUCCUCCAUCGAAACAAUUCUCUGCUACACCCUACUUCUUCACACUUCCUGUAGUUCUUUUCUUCCUCUCUAAAAUGUCUAAAACACAGACCGAAGAUCGACUGUGAAAGCCUAACCUUCCUCGUUAAUCUGGCAAGGAUGGAUAAACACGAUCCCAAAAAUGAUCACAUUACUUACCAACCCCAAAGAACGUCACCUGUCAAUUCCUCAUCUCUAACCGAAUUUAGUAUUUCAUGACGGAAGGCAAACAAGCAUGGAGUUCUGACAAGCACUGGAAUACCCAGUUUAGAAGUUGUUCACUCUGUAGCUCCAGCAGCAAUUCCGCCUGCCAAAUAUAUGAAACAAUCAAAACAGAUCGGUCGCAAGAGAUUGGAGAUUUUAGUGUUCAUGACAGAACAAACCAUUACCGGGGCUUUACCUUUAUUACGUCUCCUUCAAGGACCAAUUUGUUCCUACGAGCAUUUGAAGACAUCGAGUCGGUCAAUAGUUUGAAAACUCCCUUGUUCAUAUUUGUUUUCAUCCCAACCAUCUUCCCUGAAGCAUGAAUUCUAGUUAUCCCCAUAUCUGCAGCCAUUCUCCUCACGUACAGCUUCUUCAGUAAUAUUUCCAUCGAGUAGGGUUCUUUUCCAUAUUGACGCCGCAGAUUUUCUGUGAACUGAACCAGACUCCAUAUGUCUUUCUCUGCAGCUUUCUCAGCUUCUUCGAUAAUUUCAAUCGGGUUGUCCAGGAAAUUUAUAUACUCAGAAGUAUGGCGAGGUGUUACAUUCAGAUCAACCUGUCAUCCAGAAUGACAAACCAAGUUGUAUGGUUCAUAAAGGUGAUAAUCCAAUCUUUCAUAUUCUAGUUCAUCUUUCUAAACUUGUCCAACAUCCAUCACAUUCCAUCAGUCAGAAUUCUCAUCUUCUGCAAGACUGUAACUUGAUGUCUGCACUAGCCUUAAAAAAUAUAGAUUCAAGUAAUUACCUGAACAGAUUUGUAAGGAACUGAUACCACACAGUGUUCUUCAACCUGUAGAAAUUAUCUGGAGAUGAUUAUGUUCAAAGCAAAGAGAACAAGAGCAGAUUGAAAAACAGUAAGCAGCAAAGGCGAGUCAUAAGUGUUGGAUAGAUAUACUAGCCAUCUCCCCGUGAAGGAAAUUUUAAGGAGUAAUGCUGUGUGGUCAACCUAUCAAAAUAGCAAAUGCAGGAAAUCUUGCAACGUAGAAAACUAAAAUCCACGCGCCUAAACAAGAUUUGAAACUCAAGAAAAUGCCAGACACAUACUAGAGAGCUUCUUUUUCUUGGUCUAAUGAGAUAUGAUAAAGUGAAUUAUAGUGAGCAUACCUUGGACAAGCUCUCGAAAAGCAUUUCAAAGAAUAGAUCAAUGCCAACGUUCCCCACAUCUCCCGUCUGUUGCUCACCGAAGAUUGUUCCAAAGCCUCUUAUACCCAUGUCUCUCUCAGCAAUUUGGAAACCUUGUCCAAGAUCUACGCAUUCUUCCAUGGCUUGCAGCCUCUCCUGAACAGUUAUAAGGAUCACAAGACUCGUUCGAAAACUUUAAUGGUAAGGAACGGCCUCGAUGCAUGAAAAAUUGGCUCACAUACCAGUGCUUGUUCAGUUAGGGAUGACUUGUCAGGAUAAAAUAGGUAAGCAUGAGCUUCCUUAUCUGCCCGACCCACUCUUCCACGCAACUUCAGAAAACAGGACAACGAAUCAGUUUCUGAGAUGUAACAAUAUAAAGAACUCAGGUGCUCCAAUCACUGGAAAAAAAAUGUAGAAAAAUGCUAGGAUGGAACCUGAUGCAAUUGUGAUAGGCCAAAGAAUUGAACAUCUUGGAUUAUGAUGGUAUUUGCGUUUGGUAUGUCAAGGCCACUUUCUACAAUAUUUGUACAGAUGAGAAUCUUAAUUUCACCAUAUGCAAAUUUCUCCAUGGUUUCCUCAAGUUGCUUUGAGUAUAGCUACAAAGGAACAAGAGCAACACUAUAACACUAGUGAGAAUAAAGACCCAAACAAGAUUCUGCACGAAAGAAAGAGGGGGGGAGAGGGGGGGGGGGGGGGGAAAAUUGGGAUUCUCUCGGCCCGGGGUUGCUGUUUUUUUUAAGUCAGUUCAGUUUUUCUGGAUUAUUAAGUUCACAGUUGGCUGUCGUCUUCUACUUUGAUCAAGAACUGAACUAACAGCAGACACUUGAACUAGAAACAACCUUAAUGCUUAAACGACUGAGCAAGGACCGAAUUCUUCUACAGCUAAACAUCAGUUUUGUUUCCUUGAGAUUCAGAUAAGUUCAUCCAUGCCUCUAGCCAACAAAAAGACCGUACCAAAUUGUCUGGAUAUCCAUAAAACAAUUUUGAAUAACCAAUCCACCGUAAUCAAACUGGGUUGGCUCUGGGCUCUGGGCAGAAGCAACUGAUCAAUUUAACUUGUAGAGUAUGAAAUAAAGACAACACGAAUGGAGUGAAAGUUACCUUCCCAUGUGCAGUGGCUAUUUUAACAUCGGGAAAUGAUCGAUCGAGGAAAUCAUGAACUUCUUCUAAUCCUGUUAGCCCAGAAGGACAUACAUAAAAUACACAUGAAAGUUUUGAAUGCACGUUGCAGAACUCAUAAGCAGAAGAAGAAACUAACUUCUUUCAGUCUUGUUAAGACAUAAUGACUUUACAAUGAUACAGACCCAUCCUAAAACCCGUAAGAACAUUGGAAGAUUACUGCAGCACUGCUCAGCAGAACAAGACAGUCAUACUUAAUUCAACCCCUUUAAUGUGUAUUGUAAUAUUAAUGGCAGCUGUUACCAAGUCUUCAAAGCCGGAAAUACUUUGAUAUAAACCAGCUGGAUCUGAUUAGUGGACAGGACUAGUAAAUUUUCCAUGUGCAACUUCUCUCCCCAAAUUAACCAUGAUGUGAUUUCACAGCUAAUGAUUGUAAAUAUUUUGAAUCAGAAAUGCAAUGAAAAAGUACGUCCAUAAAAUACCUUUAAUACGUGGCAAGACAUAAAACACCUGGCCACCGCGAUCCAGCUCAUUUUGUAUUGCUAAUGCUACCUUUCCUUCGUUAUAGGGUGAUAAAUGGGUCCUUAUAGGAACCCUCUCAGGUGGCGGAGUGGAAAUCAAACUGAAACCAGGACAGUGUUUUUAUUAUCAGAAAAAAGAUCAACAAGCGCUAAGCAAUACAUUCCUUGUAUAAAGAAAAUUUCUCCGACAUCAGACGAGGCAAAACGGCAAGACAGGAAAUCAUUAAUCGGCAAAUCAGUUCCAAACAACAAAACCUCAAGUUUUUAUCCUAUCCAGCACAUGAUGCCCGUUCAAACAACUAGCAUUUCCCAUACAACAGAACCUGAAUCUAAUAGUAGUUUUAAAUUAUGCUUUGUACCCAACUGAAGGACAGUUAAUUUUGCGAUACAAGGCCCGCUAUCUUCCUCAUUUCAGUUUCCGAUUCUUCUGUUUCAACAUAUAAAAUGAAUCCAGACCUGGAAGUAAUAAUGCCAGGUGUUUCCAAACAAAAUGAAAUUGUCACUGUACUUACAAACAUAGACUGGUUAAACAGAUAUAGAUCUUAGGCUAAAACACACAUAAACCUAACAUCAAUCAAUGCUCAUUUUGGGGCCAGCAUCACCUAUUAAAUCAAAAAUAAAUGUUCACCCAUGUUACCUUCCUACAAUGGUAUUACCUAUAUUUACCUUGCAUCACGGAAGCCAGUCAGUGCUAAAUAAAGCGUUCGAGGUAUUGGAGUUGCUGAGAGAGUAAGAACGUCGACAGAAGUUUUGAGAGAAGCAAUCUUCUCUUUCUGUUUAACACCAAAUCUCUGGAAGGAAAUGGACAUUACAUUAGCUCUUACGCUUUAGCAUGUAUAUGGGCUGCCCCCGUGAAGACCUUAUGUACCUGACCUGGCCUAUGCACCAGGAAAAUAGAACAGAAAAACCAAUAGAAAUUGCCAGUUACACAAAUUCCGGAUUCAUUCACUCAACCUCUCAUUCCAUCUUUAUGUCGAUUCAUUCAUAAGAUUUAUACAGGUGUCACAUGCGAAUGAUUAUAAUAUACCUUGAGAAACAAGCUUGCAUCACUUCAAUCCAACAAUCCAACAUUGUAGGAACACAAGUAACUACAUGUGUAAUUCCCUGCGAAGGGUUUCAAGAAAGACUAACUCCAAAGACCUAUAACUGAUUAGUGCUUGAUCUUGCAUAUGUUUCAUUUGUUACUACUUUACUUCGUCAAAGCAACGACCAGUCUGGUCUAGUUAUCGAGAAGGGUGAUUUCGAAGACAAACCUGUUCCUCGUCGACGACAAGAAGCCCCAGAUUGUUAUAGACCACUCGACUUCCAAGAAGAGAGUGAGUUCCAAUAACUAUGUUCAACUCACCACGUUCGAUCAUGCCCAGGUAUGUCAUCUUUUCUGUUCUGGUCUGUAAUUGAUGAAAGACAUGAAAAUCUUAAAAUGAAACCAAUAUUCAUGAUUUCCUAGUCGGCAUCGGAUCAACAGAAUAUUUUAAUGAAAUGGAUGCAUUCAUGAUGCCGACAUCAGACAUGUCAAUCACUAAUAUUUGGGAAAGAAAGCUCUGUUCGUGUGUGCAGGGAGUUAUACUAGCUAACACUCAAUGAAGAAGGCAAUACCAAGAAAAACUUAUACCUGAAACCGACUGAGAAGUCCUACUUUGAUAUUGGGGUACCGGGAAAAACGUUCUGAAAUAACAUCAAAAUGUUGCUUGGCCAGUACAAUUGUUGGUGCUAAUAUCAUUGCUUGCUUUCCCGCUGAGACCACGCAAAAGAUGGCACGCAAAGCAACUUCGGUUUUACCAAAACCGACGUCCCCGCAUAUUAAUCGGUCCAUUGGAGUUUGCCUCUCGGUCAGAUCCCUUUCAACGUCAAUGAAAGCCUGGAACAUGUUAUCUAAGCCGUGAAGGGGGGAUGGAAAAUGCUAGAAUCCUAACCAUGAUCAUGAAGAAAUCUUGUUUUCAUUCACAUAAGUCACUGUAAGAUAAUCAAGGCUACGUAGAACAAGCUAAACUGACCCUAAAGACACAACACACUGAUAGAAUACCUGCUUCUGAUCGGGAGUGGGGUUGUAAGGAAAUUGAGCAUCAAAGCCAGCCAUGUCAGGACUUUUCGGGUAAGGAGGGCGUCUUUGCUUCAAUCGGUGCAAAUACAGCUCCAUUAAGUCAACAACCAUUCUCUGGAUUGCAACCUUACCUUUGGUCUUCCUCUUCUCCCAUGCACCGGGAUCGCUCAAUUUGCUAAGCGUCUUAGGCUUUUUCGAUUCGUUGGGGCUACAAAACAGGAAACAUUAAUAGGAUAAACAAACAAUUUUCAAAUGAGACUAGAACAACGGAACUACAGGUUCAACAACAAUGAAAGGAGACCUACAGAUUGUAACGAUAAAGCAAGCGAGAGGCCUGAUGAAGUGGGAGCUUGGCCAUGCCGUCAGCAUACUCGAGGAAGACAUACUCAAUAGGUUCAGAUCGAGAAGAAUUGUUAGGUAGAUCGAACUUGAUAGCAACAAACUUCCCGAUGCCGGCCUUCCGGUGAACGACGUAAUCUCCAGCACCAAGAGUGUAGGGAUCGCCCUUGUAGCUAAAGCCGCCGCCGGAGUUGGUCUGCCUAUCUCCUUUCAACUUCUGCAAACCUCGCUGCUGUUGCUCCUUCACAAGCUGAAUGUACUUGUCGGCCUCCUGGGGGUCCAUCGCAGGCCUGAAGGAGGAGGAGGAGGAGGAGGAGGAGGAAUCGUCUCUGGUGGAGCGGGUGCUGUGGAUUCUGAGAUUGAGAAGGGAGAUAGGGUCAUUGCCGUCGUCUACGGUGUCGGCGCCGGGACGGUAUCGAGCUGGAGAAGGGAUAGCGGCGGCGGAGGUGGCGGAGGGGACGUGGAGAGAAGAGGCGAGGACGACGGAGAAAGGAGAUGAGGAUAGGAAACGGUGAGAGGAAGGGCAUUUUAGGUGGAAGAGAUUCCCCGUCCGUAAUUGAUUUGGUAGUGUGUGGAGAGUGGAGAUGAAAGAUGAGGAGGAGGAGCAAACAUCGAGGGAAGCCAUGACUGACUAACCACCGAAGAACAAGGAGAAGUGGAGGGAGAAUGGGAUAAUUUCAGAGGGUUGAAUGGCACAGAAGCAUGGUAACGGCAGCCGUGAGGCACACAGAGUUGGGAGGGAGGGAACGGAGACGGUAAAAAAGAGAUCGUUAACUCAUGAUGAGCGACCAUAUUUCUGUUUAAAAUGGUUUAUUUCAAUAAUUCGCAUACACGUCUUGCAUCACUGUCUCCCUAGGACAUUUGUUCUGUUGAACAAAUUGAGUAAUAACCAUUUUUUUCAUGCUUGCAAAUGCGUCUUGCAUCACUAUCUCCCUAAGACGGGGGACAUUUUUAGUACAACUUAUAUAUCUCUAUAAUCAAAAAAUUCGGUGAGUAGGUCGAUGUCCCAACCCCGAAGAUGAGGUAUAACUUGCUAGAUCAAUACUCAUCAAAUUAUAUAUUCAGAUUACAAACAAUUUCAAUGUAACAAUUUGUAUCGUCUCUUAAUCGCGACUUGGCCCCAAUGUUAAGGGACGAUCCAACCUCCACCCUCCACCAAACUCCCUCAUUAACAAUUUGUUAGGCUUCAUGAAUACUCAUCCACAUCAAGUUUGUCCGAUAACAAACUCUAACAAAAAGAAAAGCCCCUUUGUUGAAAUAUUUUUUUUUUAACACUCUCGAAAUAAGAGCAUCAUGCUCAAUUAAAAACUUCCACUCUUGCUUACCCAACAUUGAAAGAUUGAAGUUGGUUAGGUCUCGAAACCCCAUCCUGCUUUAAACACUCAAAUAUUUCCAUCACAUCCACGGUAUACCAUUCGCUUCCAUCCUCACACUUAGUUCCCCACCAUAAUUGGCACCAAUUGCUGCUUUGCUGGAUUUUAAUUUUACCACAUAAUUUUGGACUUGGGUUAUUAGUAAUUUAAAAGUAAUUAUUAGUAAUUAAAGGUAAUUAUUAGCAAUUUAAAAAUAUUACUUCAUGUUCCAAAUCUAUAUUUUAUAUUCAAAAUAAAAUAAGACGAGAUGCUUUAAAACGUACUUAUAAAAAACCCCUUUUCAAAAAUGUACAUAUAAAAGACCCCUUCUCAAAAACACUCCCUCAUAAUCCAAUACUUACUACACCCAUUCCUUCCCAAUAANNNNNNNNNNNNNNNNNNNNNNNNNNNNNNNNNNNNNNNNNNNNNNNNNNNNNNNNNNNNNNNNNNNNNNNNNNNNNNNNNNNNNNNNNNNNNNNNNNNNNNNNNNNNNNNNNNNNNNNNNNNNNNNNNNNNNNNNNNNNNNNNNNNNNNNNNNNNNNNNNNNNNNNNNNNNNNNNNNNNNNNNNNNNNNNNNNNNNNNNNNNNNNNNNNNNNNNNNNNNNNNNNNNNNNNNNNNNNNNNNNNNNNNNNNNNNNNNNNNNNNNNNNNNNNNNNNNNNNNNNNNNNNNNNNNNNNNNNNNNNNNNNNNNNNNNNNNNNNNNNNNNNNNNNNNNNNNNNNNNNNNNNNNNNNNNNNNNNNNNNNNNNNNNNNNNNNNNNNNNNNNNNNNNNNNNNNNNNNNNNNNNNNNNNNNNNNNNNNNNNNNNNNNNNNNNNNNNNNNNNNNNNNNNNNNNNNNNNNNNNNNNNNNNNNNNNNNNNNNNNNNNNNNNNNNNNNNNNNNNNNNNNNNNNNNNNNNNNNNNNNNNNNNNNNNNNNNNNNNNNNNNNNNNNNNNNNNNNNNNNNNNNNNNNNNNNNNNNNNNNNNNNNNNNNNNNNNNNNNNNNNNNNNNNNNNNNNNNNNNNNNNNNNNNNNNNNNNNNNNNNNNNNNNNNNNNNNNNNNNNNNNNNNNNNNNNNNNNNNNNNNNNNNNNNNNNNNNNNNNNNNNNNNNNNNNNNNNNNNNNNNNNNNNNNNNNNNNNNNNNNNNNNNNNNNNNNNNNNNNNNNNNNNNNNNNNNNNNNNNNNNNNNNNNNNNNNNNNNNNNNNNNNNNNNNNNNNNNNNNNNNNNNNNNNNNNNNNNNNNNNNNNNNNNNNNNNNNNNNNNNNNNNNNNNNNNNNNNNNNNNNNNNNNNNNNNNNNNNNNNNNNNNNNNNNNNNNNNNNNNNNNNNNNNNNNNNNNNNNNNNNNNNNNNNNNNNNNNNNNNNNNNNNNNNNNNNNNNNNNNNNNNNNNNNNNNNNNNNNNNNNNNNNNNNNNNNNNNNNNNNNNNNNNNNNNNNNNNNNNNNNNNNNNNNNNNNNNNNNNNNNNNNNNNNNNNNNNNNNNNNNNNNNNNNNNNNNNNNNNNNNNNNNNNNNNNNNNNNNNNNNNNNNNNNNNNNNNNNNNNNNNNNNNNNNNNNNNNNNNNNNNUAUAUAUAUAUAUAUAUAAUUGUUAAAUAUAUUUCAUAUUGCAAAAAACUGUUAUAAUAUAUCAAUACUCAUCCUCUGUUUUUAAAAUUCCACUUUCUUCAUCCCAACCAACCCACGCAAUCAAAUUUGAUUUCGAAAUUGAUCAAUAAAAUUCGACCGAAUUAUCAGACCUAUGUAAAUAGUGAACCCACGUAGGCACAUAACAAUAGUACUCGGCGGGUGUGUGAAAAUUAAUAUGAUGGUACAUUAUUUACUGUAUAUGAAGGGCAAUCUAGAAAAGACCUAGCAGUACGCAACUAUUACCUUUUAAUUCGACCACCCACGUUCCAUGUAUAUUAACUCAACCGACUUCACCAAAUAAACCAUAAAAAUCGACCGCUGUAGAAAUUAAUUAUGGCGGGUGGGGCUGGGCUAUACGAUGGAACAAGAGAGACCACGUGGACGCGUAGCUGUCCGCCAAUACCACCUACCCAACCCCCUACUUGCCUUGUGAGUGAGUGAUUUGUAGCCCCCAACCAACAAAAUAACGUACACCCUCCUCCCACCUAUACCGGCUAUUCAAGUCAAUACCUUUUCCCUGGCCAUGCCAACUGGUCUUGCUGCAUAAGUGGUGUUUUAUCUUAGAGUGGUGUGUUAGAAUUUUAUAAAUAUUAAGUUUGAAUUUAAUUAUAUUAUCCGUCAUUAAUAAUUAUGUUAGUGACAACUUAAUUUAGAGUUUAGUACACACAAUAAUAUUUUAUACUUCAUAAUUUUGGAGUUAGAUCAAACACAAAUUUAUUUAUUAAAAUUUCAAACAAGUUAUAAUUAUGUUGUUUCAAAAGGUCAUUUGUUUUAAUUCUAAAAUGCACAAUCAUUUCGACCCUUGUGACGACAUCAUCAUUCACCGGUCUCACUCAGCCCUGACAAAUUGAGUUUGUCAUUGACGGUACAUCACUAAAAUGUGAUGCUAAUUGAAUAGGUUCUCUCUUAUAAAAUAAAAUUAUUCAUUAAAAUUCAAAAACGUUGCAAGAGGAAAUCGAUCGAAUUAAAAAGCCUCCAAAAAGAAAAAUAAUUCAAGAAAUAUGAACAGUUGAUUUACCUAUAACGUGAAGUGUGGUGAGAUAUAUGGUAGCAGUGUGGCCAGCCAAUCGAGGGGAGCAAUUUUCAGACUAAGUGUAACCUACUACCGCUCCGUACCUACCUCAACACACUUUCUGAUCCUCCAACAUUUAUGUAUAAAUAGACACCCAUCUAACGGAAUCAAACACCCCCACACAGAUUCCUAAGACAGACAGCUAGCUAGAGUCCACCACCACCACCACAAUCUCUCACACCUUACGUACUUGCUGAGAUUGAAAGAAAACAAACGUACAGCACGUAACAACAUAAAAAGAGAGAUCGAUCGAUCAAUACCGAUGGCGGGUGCAGGAGGAGCCAAGGUAGUGGAGAUCCGAGCGGCUCAGCGAGCGAGUGGACCGGCCACGGUUCUGGCCAUAGGAACUGCAACCCCGCAAAACUGCGUCAUCCAGGCCGACUACCCUGACUACUACUUCCGCAUCACCAACAGCGAGCAUAUGUCCGACCUCAAGCUCAAAUUCAAACGCAUGUGUACGUCAUCUUAUAAACUUGGAUCUCCUUCCUUUUUUUUCUGGCUACGCUUAAUUACAGAUUUAGUAGAACAUUUAGUCACUUCUUUUGCAUCCAAUAGAUUUCUAAAUUAAAUUAUGACUUGAGGUAAAUGAAGAAUCAUGCAGUCCUGGGCAUGAGAUGUUCCUUCAUAUUUAACUUGUUUCUAUUUGUGAUUCAUUUGCGUAUGUAUUGGCUAAACUAGGAUAUUAUUAUUAUUAGCAAAAUUAUGAUACUCUUAGUGUUUCGUUUUUAUUAUAAGAAAAGUUUGAUAAAAGUUAGGUGUGCUCCACCAAUUUCAUUAAAAUGUAAACCUAACAGGACAAUGGGUUCACGGCGGGGCACGGCUCAUAAAUCAUUUCCUUUUUUAUCGAAUCUGUUAUUUUCUCAUUUUUGAAAUGCUGAUCAGGCUUACUAAAACUAAAUUGAUCAAACCCAACUUAGUAUUUGGGUAUUCAUUCAAAAUUUAUUUAUUGUGAGCUGAAAUUAUCAGGUUAAAAAGAUCGAUUGACGGGUACAUGUAAAUUCGAAACUCAAGAUUAUCGGAUAGCGGGCGAGGACGGAUUUAGUAGUAUCCGCUCCGAUAUUCACCCGACGGGUAACCCGACAAUAUAUUAUGUCGUUUCCUCUCAAAACAUUCUACUUUAAUUUCAAAUUUCAAUUGUUAGAUCCAACUCCAACUCUAUAAUAAGGGUUCUAUCGGCAAAAAUUGUGUUCUUGAAUGCAUUUUCCCCCUUAUCUUCCUACAAAUCGGGAAAUGUGUGAGUAUGUUUAAAUGCAUUUUUCCCUUAUUUUCCUACAAAUCGGAAAAUUUGUGAGUAUAUUUUCCUUAAAUUUUUAUCUAAUAGGAAAACAUUAACAAUUUUUUAUUUUGUCUACCAAAUAAAAAUUUAAUAAUUAGUAAAAGGCUUUUACAUGAUUAAACAAGUAAAUUUGAAACCCGUGUUUAAAAUUUAUACCCGUUUAUAUAAACGGGUAGGUACAAGUAAACCCCAUAACUAAAAUAAUAGGUGAUAAAUUAGCGUAACCCAUACCCAUAUCCACCCCGUUGCCACUUACUAAUUAUAAAAUAUAAUUCAUUAAUUAACAAUGAAUUAUAUACGUGCAGGUGAAAAGUCGAUGAUAAGGAAGCGAUACAUGCACAUAACGGAAGACUACCUAAAGGAAAACCCAAACAUGUGUGCUUACAUGGCGCCGUCCCUGGAUGCCCGCCAGGACUUGGUGGUCGUGGAAGUCCCAAAACUCGGGAAAGAAGCCGCCACCAAGGCAAUCAAAGAGUGGGGCCAGCCCAAAUCCAAAAUCACCCACCUCGUAUUCUGCACCACUUCCGGCGUCGACAUGCCACACCACUUCCGGAGUCGACAUGCCAGGCGCCGACUACCAGCUCACCAAGCUCCUCGGCCUCCGCCCUUCCGUCAAGCGCUUCAUGAUGUACCAGCAAGGCUGCUUUGCCGGCGGCACCGUCCUCCGCAUGGCCAAGGACCUCGCCGAGAACAACAAGAACGCCCGCGUCCUCGUCGUCUGCUCCGAGAUCACCGCCGUCACCUUCCGGGGACCUUCCGACACCCACCUCGACUCCCUUGUCGGACAGGCUCUGUUCGGAGACGGAGCCGCCGCUGUCAUCGUCGGCGCCGACCCUGACCUGACCGUCGAGAAUCCGAUGUUCGAGCUGGUGUCGGCGGGGCAGACGAUACUCCCGGACUCGGAGGGGGCCAUCGACGGCCACCUGAGGGAAGUGGGGUUGACUUUCCACUUGUUGAAAGACGUGCCCGGGUUGAUUUCCAAGAACAUCGAGAAAAGUCUGGUGGAGGCGUUUAAGCCGUUGGGAAUCAGUGACUGGAACUCGCUGUUCUGGAUAGCUCACCCCGGUGGGCCUGCUAUUCUGGACCAGGUUGAGGAGAAGCUUGGGCUUAAGCCCGAGAAGAUGCGGGCCACGAGGGAGGUGUUGAAAGAAUACGGCAACAUGUCGAGCGCGUGCGUUCUGUUUAUAAUGGAUGAGAUGAGGAAGAAGUCGGCGGAGGAAGGGAAGUUGACCAACGGGGAAGGGCUGGAGUGGGGUGUGCUGUUCGGGUUCGGACCUGGACUCACCGUCGAGACUGUCGUGCUUCACAGCCUUCCCACCGCCAAACAACCGGCGGUGGUUGGUGGUGCUAAUAAUGGGAAUGGCGUCGUUACUACCGCUGUCGCUGUUAGUAAUUAAGUUUCAUUUGUCGUGUUGCGAAAUUCGCUUCCAAGUUUGAAGGACCAGCGCCUGCCACGUCAUCAAUCGUGUGUGGGGGGGGGGGGGGGGUUUCACUCAUAUCUAGGUUAAGUUUCUUAAUUUUUUCAAAAAGUGGAAUGUAUUUAACGUGGCGUUUCGUGUGUAAGGUUUGAGUACCGAUGCAUCAAUAAAAUUAUAUAAUGAGUACGUAUUCUCAUGCCAAAAUCAUCAAUUCUAAAUUUUAACAUUUUUCAAUUAUAAACGCCUAAACAGAUUAUUAACGCGUAAAACUCUGAAUGAGGACGAACUGAGGCAGUUACCACAAACUGCCGGUAACCGCCGUCAUUCCGAGAGCCCAGCAAGUUGAGAGAGUUGGAGAGGGGUGUGACGGCAAUGGAUUUUUGGAGCACUGGUUGCAGUUGUUGUCUAGAGAAGCGACUGGUCGGCCUUUGUUUAGCCGGGAAUGGUUGGCUGGUUGGCCAGCCACGGAGGGAGCACCAGUAGUUUCUUCCCUGUACUAGUUAUUAGUUGCUUUUAAUGAUUGUUGUGUAUGGACGAUGAAUGCAAAGAACUGGGAGGAUUAGGCCAAAGCUACUUCAUAGCAGAGUACAAGUUGAUGGCUUGAUGCGAUGCUCCGGUCUCUCAGUUCUUUUUCCUGCUUGUCAUUUAUGUAUUAUUAUUGUACUCCUUUCCAUUUGGAUUACUAUCUAGGGCAGAUCAUCUUGUUGGCAUCGGUAGAGUCCUGGUGCGGGAACGAGGAAGAUGCGAAUAAAAUUCAAAUUUCUAUUUCCAUGUUACAAAUGCGUAUUCCUCUUUCUCUUCCUUAUUGUUUCCUGUUUAUCUGUUUGCUCUUACUUGUGAUUUGGAAGUCUACUUGCAGUUUUAUGAUGGUUGAUGAUACUUUGUUCGUUUCAUUUUUAGAUUGUUGGGAAGCAUUUGUUUGUUUUGGAUUUAAUUUUUGCAGGGGACUUUUCAUAUGGGUGCUAGACGUGUUCCUUUCUAGCCCCUACGUUCGAGAUAUAGCGCUAUUCAAUUUGGCGGUCAGGGGUCCGAUUGCAGAAUGUUUGUCGAUUUUGGAUGUCAGGCAACAGAGCCACCCAUUCCGUGACACGCGAGAUUUUAAAUAUUGUCCGAGAGUAUUAUAGGUAGUCCUUAUUUCUGGGUUGAUUGUAGUUAAUAUGUAUUAACUAUCUCUUUGUCUCCACAAGAAACUAUCUCAGAAAAAAAUUAAAAAUUAUAAAUACCUAAACUUCAAUUUGUAAAGCCCUAAACUUUGAACCCAGUAAAUCCAAAACUAGACCACGUCUAAUGCAUAAACCUAGACUGUAACCACUAAAAUUGUUAACCUGAAAAGUCUAACUCAAAUGAUGCUAUUUUUGGUGUGAACUAAUUUUGGUAUAAAAUUUUGAUAUCCGAUUUAUUGGCUGAUUAAUCUAAUCGAGAAAUUGUCUUGAGAUUAAUAUUUUAUUCUUCUCCUAAUGUUAUGACAAGGGAUCAAAUCUUAGAUCUCUCUUCCAAAUACAGCUUCUAACAUCCCGAUUUGUGUGUGAAUGAUGACAUGCACAUUCGCCUUGAAAGGAAAAGAUUUCGGGCUUAGGCCCAUGAAAAAGCUCAUGAUGUUCAGCUCAUAUGUGUACGAGGAAGAAGUUUUGGGCUUAGGCUUAUAAAAAGUUGAGAUGUUCCUAUGUAUGAGCUCAGGCUCUUUUAUCUUAUAUCGAGCUGUACAAAUACCGUAGAAUACAGGUAGAUGCCUCCACUUCCACAUGAAAAUGCAUGGUUUGAUUAGAUGUGUAUUUAUGAACAUAAUUAUCCUUUAAAAUGAAAGAUUUUUGUUUUUAGAUGGAUACAAUUAGAGAAUUUCACUUUAUUGAACGCAAAUUCUAUAAUCUCUCUUGAACGAACUAAAAAGAUGUUUUUUUGACAAACAAAUCCUUCUUGUAUUUUUGAAAUAGAGUGGUAACCGUAGAAACAUAUAGGACAUCCUAUCGGAAGUGCAAUCCUCGCUAACGAGGUUAUAUGGAUCGAGGGUCCUUACAUGUAAUGACCUUAAUCCUUUCUCUCCAACCUAGUGGGCAAUCAAUUGUAAUAAGCAUCGCCAAAGUUUUGAAACCAACUAACAAAAACAAACCAAAGCAUAAGAUAAAAACCUAGCAAAUUUGGAUGAUACUUAUUCUUAUUAGGCUACCGCCGAAGGAGGUUAGGACCUCAGCUGAUCAAACACCAGACGUCAAUGUGGCAUACCAGUCAUUCGAGGAUGACUGGUUGUUGCUGCUAGGGGUGAGACCUAGCCUGCUUUCCGAGGCAACUUAUGUCCUGACGGCCUAAGAUUGAGUUCCAUCUCCAUUGGGUUUGAUGUGGUCAGCUUGCACCUACACCAUUUUUUAUCGUCCGCGGAGGCUCGUUCUCCAUCUUCAAUUACUAGAACCUCAAUCUCAGAGAUUCUUGGUACCUUAAUGUGGUCGCGACAUGAUGGAGGGUUUUCGGGUAGAGGCUGCUCGAGCUUUCUUCUGCUCGGGUGGUCGCUUCUUCAUUAAGCUCCAGUGACUUGCGGCUUGGUACUGCAGGUCUUUCUAAGUUGGAACUUUGAUUGAAUCUUCCCAUUGGAAUGUAAGCCGUUCCUCGGGGUAUUGACAUCGUAGCUCGCACUUCCUUUCCACAUGGCCCAUAAUCCCACAGAUGUAACAUAAGCACCACAGUCGCUCGUAUUUGAACUUGCACGUAAGUUCUGUUCCAUCGUGAAGGCCAACCACCCGUUCCUUAAGCAGAGACAGUUUGAUGUCCAAGGAGGCCCUAAUUCCCAUAUAUGCAUUAGGGAAGGCAAUGCAGUUCUUAUCAUCAUAUAUAGCCGACGUAUUUCCCUCCAGAAUCACCUAGGGCUACCCCGAUCGCCUCCAAAAAGUACCUGAACAGUAAGUUGUGAACACGAACCCAUAGAUCGGCAGUUUGCAAGGGUACCUGUUGUGGGUUUUCACCCUGACACAACUCAUGGGUGAGAAGCAGAUGGCUAUCGAAGAACCAUGGUCCGUUCUCCAUCACAUGACGGACGUCGAGUUUGUGGCCGAAGCGAAAUAGGUAUCGCCUAUCCUCGAUGGCUUGGAUCUCAACUCCUUGCAUCGACAGCCAAGUAUUGGGAAGGCUCUUCUGCAUUGCCUGGAAGUUGAUCUCCUUCUUGGUCAUAAAGGCUCCGACGACACAGAGUUCGUAUCCCCACGCCACAGGUUGGCUUACCAACAUCGACAACGAUAUCGUGGCUAGUUGAUGAACCAGUGCAGCAGGUCCCCAGUUUUGACCUGCAAUGUCCGGCUGCCCGGAGCUCUCAUUGUCGCGGUUUGUAGACCGUCCUUCAGGGUUUGUCGCCGUCGAUCUGAAGCGGUGGUUCGGCACUGGCAGGUUGCUUCUGGUAAGUUUUUCGCGACCAGUACUAUCUGCAAUGGCGAGUUGAGUAGGCGGCGGCGGUGGUGCCGCAGUCAUCGAUGUCGUAGCCGUCGUGGUGUUGACGGAAGCACCGAUGCGAUUAGGGUUUGGUGACGAGCCAUGGCGGCGCAACUUGGUUCUCUCCGUUUGAGAGCUUUCUUAAGCAACCUAAUUCUUAGCUCAUCACAAGGUAAAAGUCUACAAACGUUUAUUUAUUAUUAUGGCAAGUUUUACAGUGUAAUAGUUGUCCCCAGUGAUAGUUUAAUAGAUAUACAUGUUUGUAAUACUUAAUUUUUUGAGGACAUGAAUCUAUAUAUCGUAAAAGGAUAGAUCAAGUGAUUUGAACAGAAAAUUAAUCGAUAGACAUAAUUAUCCAUCAUUUUAAUUAAAAAUGUAUCGACAAUAAAAAACUUGAAGAUUUAUUUUAACUAUAUUUCUCUUUACUUUUCAUUUCUCUCCGUAAAUACGUGUGAGCAAGUUGAUAAAAGUCUGUCACAUAAUUCAAUCACUGUAUAUUUAUGAUUUUAAAACAUUCUAAUUACGAAUUUAAAAAUAUAUAUGAAAAUGGAAAAAAAUAAAAAUUUAAUUUAUAUUUAAACUAUCAAUUAAAAUAUAUUAAAAAGUACACAAAUCAAUUAAUUAAAAUUUAAAAUUUCCCACAAUACAUCAAAUUUGGCCAACGAAUACAACAAAAUUGCUAGUGUAAUAUAUCCAUAUAUAUCUGAGAUGAUUGGAAUGCUAAUUAUUGGGAUGCGAGUGGGUUGGUUGGUAAGAUGUCUAUAUAAAUAAUACACAUUAAUUAACACUAUAGAUUUGGCCAAUCAUACAAUAGAAUAGAAUCUCAAUUAUGCAAAAUUAAUAUAUAUAUGUAUCAACGGCGGAAAAGAAGAGCAUUCCAAUUCCCCCUCCACCAUUACCGUAAUUACUAUUUUAUUUAUUUAUUAAUCAUCAAUAUUAUUAUUAUUAUUAUUAAAAAUUCAAUUAAUCUCCCGUCCCUGCUGCGGCCAUCUAAUUAAGAUGUUCUUUGUGGCCAGCCAGCCUGACAGCUCAUACGGGGUUACUCUUCUCAAAAUAUCAUCCAAAUGAAGCCAAACAUUCCGGUUUCCAGAGAAAUGUUUGUCCAUUCCAUUUUCGUAGAGACCACAAAAUAAGAGAACACCGGGUUCUCGUCAGCCAAGCACAUGGUAUGCUGCGACAUGUAACCUUUUUCUGGGUUUUUUUCCCCACUGUUCAUCUUUAUUUUGGUGCCAAAGUUGACCAACCUCCAACAAUAUGUAAUUUGAUUAAUGUGUUAUAGGAAUCAAACUGGCAUGCAUGGUGUAGGAAUCAACCUAAUUAAUUUGCAGGUUUCUCUGACUGAUACUGAAUUAUAAACCAGUGUCAAAACCAAGAUACAGACAAACUAAGCCACAUGGGGAUCAACUCAUUCAUUAGAUAAAAUCAUAUAUGUUAAUUUCGUUUUCUUAAUAGCUUAGGCUGUAGCAGCCAGUGUCAUUUCAAAAUUUCAGUUCAGAGUGUUUGGUCUUUCGUCCAUACUUGCUAGUGGGUUCAAAAUAAACCCGAUGAAUCUCAGCAAGAAACUCAAGUAUUUAAGUUUUUCAUUGAGAAGAUAGGAUUAUAUAUAUAUAUAUAACCAUUCCUACGAUCACCUUCAAAGCCCAUCAAGUAUUUGAACAGUGAAAGCAAUAAAUAAGUGAGUUGGAUUUUUUUCAUAGAUAGCUUUUCCAUGGUAAUCAAGAUAGCAGACAAACAUAUUAUAAAUUAAAAAUCGAUCUAGGUUGUAAAAUUUAUCUUUACUCAACAAGAGAUAUUAAAGAGCUCAUCACGUCAUAAAAUGGACAAUUUUAAUUAUAGACCGCCGAAUAGCUUACACCCGAAACCGAAAACAUGCUAUUAAAUAGGCAAGAAACUCCACAAUGAUAUACAGCGCCACCCGCCACGCAGCGAGUAGCAUGAGGGAGCCGAGAGGACCAGUUCCGAAUUCGUUUUCGAAAUCGAGCAACCGAUUUCGAUCGAAUUGCCAGGCCUACAUCUACUAGAGACCUUGUCGAAAGCACCACAAACAAGCAUCAGACAUAACCCGGAGCUCCAAAAUAUAAGGAUUAACGAAUCAUGCAUAUGUCCGCCCCAUACUCAACAACAACCUCCCACAUAAGUGAGUCAGAUUUUGGAGAGAGGGGAUUUCCUUCAUGGAUCUAAUUCAUGAGAUAUUUGAAUCUUUGGAUUUUCACAUGAUUUAGGGGCCUAAAUUAAUUAGGGGUAAUAUGGUCAUGUUGUAUUAAAUAUUUUUGUUGAACUAGAAUCCAAUCAUCUCCGAUCAUCGAACCACCGUAUCCGGUGACGGAAGCACCAUCUCCGGGUCCGCACAUAUAUAACUAUGUACGGAUCAUACAAAUGUGUAUAGAUUCGUACAAACUCGUACAAAAAUGUAUACACAUUUGUAUGACUUUGUACAAAGUGUAAUACUAAGUACUACAUUUUUUGUUAAAAAAGUAUUAUAGUAAGUACUAUACUAACUAUCAUACUAAGUUUAAUACUUAGCAUAAUACUUAGUAUACACAUCUGUAUGAUCGUAAAUUAUUAAUUUUACCUCUAUGUUCAAAGUAUCAGAUCUAAUAUACAUUUUCUGAACGGUUGAGAUUUGUUAAGACUUCCUGAAUCGAAUCCGGAAUCAUUUUUCUAGAUCCAAAUUUGGGAUCAUCAUUGAUCACAGACGCACAUAAUUGAUCACAGAUCACUAAAUCAACGAGAGAAAGUUUCAACAAAAUAGUUUACCCCUAACAAUCAAAUCAUCAUUCAUUCAUUCAAAUGGACAAGGACUGCAAUAAAGUGUUGUUGACUUAACAACACUCUGAGUAAAACUCCCACGAUGCAACUUGCAGAAAAGGCUGAGAGCUGAAUAUGGGUGAAGAAUAAACUUGAGGAAGUUUAAUUUCUUCCAUGUACAGUUGGGUAAUUUCUACGUGGAGAAGAUAAUGAUUAGAUCCAAUGGAAGAAAUGUGAAGAAGCUAGCUAGCUAGCUAGCUGGAUUUAGAAAGAAAUAAAAAAGGAAAACCAAAGGGAAGUCAAUACAGCUAUGAGGCUUUGUUUUUCCGAAAUUACUAUGGCUCCGAAAGUCAAAUCUCUCCGGAGCAUCCUAUAAUCGAUCCAACGGAUAUAAUAAUUUACAUAUAAAGUCGACAUAAUGAGUAUAUUAAAAGGACAUAAUAAUAAACGCAUAACAGACUCGUGAGGUGUAUAUCAUCGACAUAAAAUAAUUAUAAACUGGACAUAACGAUGAUGUAUUCAACUACUCGUAAGGUGGACGUAACACCGACAUAACAAGCCCGUAAAAUGAUUAUAUUAGUGACAUAACAUACUCGUAUAAUGAAAACAUUAAUGUGAUUGUUUUCCAAUAUUUUUGUUCCGAAACUACCCCAUUUAAGUCAAUUCGUUUGACUCAUUUUCAACCGUUGAUGAAAUUUGAUCAAAAAAUUAUUUGAUCCAACAAUCAGUAUCUAUCGGGACGAUCUAAACUGUCUCUCGGAACCGUAGUUGUUAUUUUUCUCUCUGUUAUUAGAAUGAAUUUCCCAUUUCGUCGUCCUAUUUUAUUUCCAGCCCAUAGGUUGGAUGUGUAGAGGAACAACUCAGUCAGCCAGCCAGGCAGCAAGCUCCCGUCAAGCAGCUAAACCCCACACCGCACCGCACCCACCAUAUUCUUUCCCUUUCUUUUUAGCUUUAUUUCUUUUAUUAUUUGUUCCUUUUGGCAACCAAGACAUUAUUUGUUUUAGCUAGCUCCCAGUCAGUCAGUUGUCUUCUUCAUAGCAGCAGCAGGCUACAAACUCAUCCAUCCAACCAUCCAUUUACUUGAAUUCUUCAUCCUGCCAUUCUUUUUGAUCCCUUUUUCACCUCCUUGAUUCCUACUACCUGCAUGCUGUCUCAAAGAAUGCAGGUGAUGAGCUCUACAUUCUAAUUCCCAACAAAUCCCACCUCACUCUGCUUCUGCUUCUGCCCCAAUUCCAAGCUCACCAUUCAUUCUAUUGAAAGGCUUCUCAUUUCUCCCAUUUCCCCAUUAAAGGUCGCUGCUUUUCCCCUUUAUUCGUUUUGGUGUUUGAUUAGGAUUGUUCAGGUCGCUCAUUCUCCGAUUACCCUUUUCCAAUUCGCCAUUGCAGAGUCAAUGUUUGUUGCUGCUUUCUGUCCGGAUUGAUAUUUUCUGCGAAUCUCAAUUUAGCUUCCUCCAGUACCAUAUAUGUCAAGGACUCUUGCAGGCAUCCUAGGAGGUGCAGGAACCUUGGCAUUAUUGGUUGUGAUAUUUUUUGCCUAUCUAAUAUGGACCAAAUUAUGCGUCUCCAAACGCAAUAGUGUCUCCAGAACCUCCGACACUGGAUCUUCUGAUCCAUCUCUUCAAGGUAUCAUCAAAUUUUCCAACGACAAACAAAAAAACCAGCUCCACUUCCUCUUUUGGUAAUGUUUGAAUUGAUCACCUUUUUUCCUUCAGCUGGAAGACAUGCUGGGGGUGAGCUGUCAAUACAUGAGGCUAAGCGCUUUGUUAUGGAAGAACUGUCUCUGGCUACCAAAUUUUUUAGCCACAAGAACUUGAUCGGUGUAGGCAAAUUCGGAGAGGUAUACAAGGGUUUGCUUGAAAAUGGGAUGCUUGUAGCUGUGAAAAAACGAUUUGGAGCACCGACUCAAGAUUUUGUUGAUGAGGUAGUGAUUUACCAAUCUCAGCUAUAGCUCAUUUUAAUGAUAGCCUUGCUUCUAUGUACAUUGAUUGACAAAGAUCAAGGGGUUGUUUGUUUUGUAUCUGGUUACCCUUAAAGGUUUGAUCUUUUGUUCCUUCUUAACCGUUACGUUGGAAGAACCACAUUUCUAUGUUGCAAUCCGUACUCCUCGCUCCUCGUAUUUUCCUGUUCAGUUAGGUAAUCUCUUUGUCUUUCAUCUGAUCGUGCUGAAUUUAAUUUGUCAGGUACGGUAUCUUUCGUCUAUUCAGCAUCGCAACAUAGUGACUCUGUUGGGUUACUGUGAGGAGAACACAAUGCAGUUCCUCAUCUAUGAAUAUGUACCCAGUGGGAGCGUUUCCAGUCACUUGUACGGUAACUUUCGAUCCAGUCACCAAAGUUCAUGUCUUUAAGGUCACAAUACUGUAAUGAAUUUCUGGAAAUUAAUACAAGCCACAGCUAUUCUAUUCAUGAUCUGUUUGUGCUUUGCUUGUAAAUCUAGCAUCUAGGACGAUCAUAGAAUGUGAACCUGAUCACUUGGAAAAAUUUCCAAUUCCUUGAGCCGUGUUCUUGUUGCUAUGAAUGUACAAUAUCAUGUUUGUAAAUUUUCAUCCUCAUGAAAAGAACUCCAAAUAUUGAUGUCAGGGUCUGGCCAAGUAUCAAAGGAGAAGCUGGAAUUCAAACAUAGACUCGCAAUAGCUCUAGGGGCAGCUAAAGGUGAUGCUCUGCAAAAUCAGUGAGCAUUUUGGCUUUCCUGGUAUUAGUUUGCUGCUUUUCAAUUUUAGAUAACUCAUAGUACCCCUAAUAGAAACCGAACAAGCAUUAUUAUUCGUACGGCAAAGUUUGCUUUCUUCUGUACAUGAAAGGUGAUGUGUGUUGUUCAGGUCUGGAUUAUCUUCACUCCCUGAGACCUCGCUUAGUGCACAAGAAUUUCAAGACGGCUAACGUGCUGGUGGACGAGAAUUUCAUAGCUAAGGUUGCAGAUGCAGGGCUGCGGAAUUUCCUGGGAAGAGUUGAAAGUACUGCAGGCCCUUCUUCCCAAGUGACUGCAGAUGAGAUAUUUCUUGCGCCAGAGUAGGAUUCUCUACUGCAAUUCAAAUAUUCCCCAAUGCUUGUUCCCUAAGUUUCAUGACGUUGGGCAUUUUACUUUGUGUGUGGUGGGGUUGUAGGGUGAGGGAGUUCAGACGAUUCUCGGAGAAAAGUGAUGUGUACAGUUUCGGUGUGUUUCUUGUGGAGUUGAUCACCGGAAGGGAAGCAACAGAAGAGAAUAUGGUGGAAUGGGUAAGCCAUAAGCUAAAAAUUUGCGAUUUUGUUCUUUUGUAUUGGAAUCUGCACGGAGUUGAGUUGAGUUAUGGUUUUGUUUGACUGUGAAGGUGGAAAGCAACGGAAGGGAGGAGGGUAUUAGCAGAGUUGAGGGGAGGAUGGUGGAUGAGAGGUUGGGGAGCAGCUUCACGGCGGAAGGGAUGGAAGAGCUGAUGAAGUUGGCAGAGCGGUGCUUGGAGGCCUCGAGUGAGAGGAGGCCCGGGAUGAGCAAUGUGGUGAUGGAGCUGGACAGAAUUCUGGAGAAAGAGAUGAAAGUGACUACUGGUAUGGGAGAAGGUACUGCUCCAACUGUGACUCUGGGAAGCCAGUUAUUCAGGCCUUAAGAAUAAAAAACAAUGCAUAUAGACUAUUGAAAAAAGUGUGUAUCAUUCUUUUUUCCUUUCUGUGAGUAACAACUGUUAGCUGUUUGAUUUUAUAGCAAGUGUAUAAAAAUGCAAGAGAAGAGAACAGCUGCUGCAUUCAUUAUCAUUACUAUUCUUUCCUUUUUUUGUAUUAGAAUGGCAAGGGGGGCUGGCAUGUGUUUAUUUGUUGUAAACCAAUAAAUUAAUUAUUUUUUAUUGUGUCAUUUAUUUAUUGAUAUUAGUGCUGUGAAUUGUAAAGUGUGGAAAUGCUGAAUGAGUGAAAAGGGGAAGUUUGAGCUGUCUUGUGUUUUCUGUGUAUGCCUUUUUUGCCUGGAUUUUCAUGGUUUUCACCUAUGGAGAUCGAACCACCCAAAUUCGUCAGCUUAGGGGGGUUUCGAAGAACACCUUGAUCUUGCCUCUUCUUCACCCUGCACGGAGAAAACUACAGCAAGCAGUAAUGUACUAAUUUCUUUAUUUCUUGCGUGUAUCUGUAAAUCUUGAACUAUAGAAACAAACUCUUUCCCUUGUGUAAUGUCAUGUGCUACAGAGCUUAAGAACUGCACUAUAUAUCUACUGUCUGGUUGAUGUUUAUGUACAUUUGAUUUUCUGUCUACCUGAAGCAGAGAGCGGAAGAAGAACGAGGGGCCCUGUCAGGUCGCGACAGGGUUUAAUAUUCGAGAAGGUUUGCGGUGAAGUCGCUGAAAAGAGAAGCACCCCCUGUAGCCUUAAGAACCACCUCCUCAGUGGUGGUGCCGAUAAUAUCGUUGGCUUCCUUCAAUCCAGCGCAGCUGUACUUUCCACCUGCAUCCUGCAUUUUCAACACAUUUCAUGGUUCCCUGACCUCAUUCAGUUCACCACUGAGAACAAAAAAUUAAUGGAAAAAAGGAUGAUGAAUGGUUGUUAAGCUUGCCUUGGAGACGAUACCGAGUUUCUCUAGCUUCUGGAGAGCAUCGUCAACAUCGAAGUUGCAGUUCUCGCCGAAUUCUGCCUUGAUCAUAUCUUCACACCUUUGGUCUAGCUCCUAGUUUCAGAUUGAAACCAAAGUGCGGUAAGUACUACAUUCACUGAACUUAAGAAGUUUGCAGUAGUGACAUACGACAUUAACAUAUGACAUUAAUAUGAAAUAGGGAAUUGGCGGGUACCUGUCUUGUGGCAUCUCCUUGCUCCAUCAGGAUGAAGAAGGAUAUAAUAACCUCUUUCACCUGCAAUUGUUAUCGUUGCCUGAAAUUAGAGCUACAUAUUAAAAGAAGGAAGAUGAUUGUGGGGGGCAGGUUUCAAGUAAAGACGCACUUCCUGUUGAAUGACCUCAUCGCACAAGUGAAGCAGAGUGCCCCUCCCACUAUCCAGUUGUUUAUCAUACACUGACUGGGUGAUCAGACUUUGAUAAGACACCAAGUUACUCUGGAAGCUGCGUACAACAGCAAUGCAUCAUUCAUAUUAUUCAAGUAAAUGAACCCACAUUUUGAUCUGAUCACCCAGUCAGUCCUUCUUUACACUUACGUGAAAUACGUUUUGACGCAGUAGCCAACCACUGAUGUGAGGAUGGCGAAGAUCACCCUGAUGUCAGCUUUCGGCACACUCAAGGACCCAAUCACCGUUCCCUGAUGACAUGACCAUGUAUGUAUCAUGUUAAUCACAGUAUGUCGAUUGUAUUGUUAUCCGAGUGACGUUCAGCUCGAUGAAAUAUAAUUACCAGACCGAUGAGGGCGGAUACAAGGAACUUCACCCAGUCCAUUGGGGUUAGCCCUGGGUUCUUCUUCUCUGGCUGUCCCAGCAGUUAAAAUUUGUAUCAGUAACAACUCUUUCUGCAAAUUUAUAGUCCUACUCACUCACCAGUACGAUCUCCAUAUCUGCCAUGGGUAUUCCCUUGAAGUGCUUAACGUAAAUAUUCUUCUCCGUUUCCUUUUUGUCGCAGCUGCUAACUCUCCUGCAUAUUUAUUUAAUAGAUGCAUGCAUACACAUGUGUCCCAGUCUGAUUAGAAAAUUGUACAGAUACCAAACCCGGAAGAAAGGGCGCAAUAAUGUUCAUUUUUGGUGUCAAAACAAAAGUUAUCUACCUGUAAACAACAAUGAUACGAUCGAAGGUGGGCUCUUGGAUGGUUACUUUCCCAAAAAGAUUCAGGAAGCUGGAAAACAAAUGUGGGGGCAAUGAAGCAUGAGGUAUGAACAGCAUUGAAAAAUUGCUGCUACCUGCUGAUAAGUUGGACAAAAUAUGAAUACAGACCUGAGUGGCAUUUUCUCGAUGCGAAUUCGUUCCACGAAGAGAUCUUCAUCGUCGUCGCUGUCGCUGCUAUCGUCAUUAUACACAUCAAUGCUGACUCCAACAGGAUUAGGCUCCCCCUCAUUAGAUGGUUCUGGUACUACCGCUGCUGGUUUUGGACUAGGCUUCUUUGCCUUCUUUGGAAACAAUAGCCAUUUCAGCCUGCAAGUUGAUGACCAUAUCAGAUCACUUGGCUGCAGGAACAAAGAAAACAAACAAACAAUUUGAACAAAGUACAAAAUUAGAAAAUCGAACCCGGUAAUGAGGAGGAGGAACAUCCAUAUACGAAUGAUGAUGGUAUUGAUCUUAUGUUUGAUGAAGUAAGCUUCCAUGUGAUCAAUCCCGAACCCUCGCCUGAAUAUGAUGAACUUGUCGGCGAAAUAAGGUAGGUUAUCCUUGGGGUACUUGGUAAAGUACCUGGUGAACAUCCUCUUGUCCAGCUAAAUUCAAAUCAAAUUCAAUUCAAUUAGGAAUUGAUAAGAAAUAGAGUUCCGUUUCGUUUAGGUUUAAUUUGAUGAUAAGAAUAACAUGCCUUGGAAUCGUCGACAACGAUGGGGAGAUUGAGGCGGUACUGGGCGGAGAGGGCGACCUCGAUCUCGGCGUCGGUGGUGACCUUGAAAUUGCUGCGUUCCAUGAUCUGGAAGAGGCAGUUGAGGAAGUUGCGCUCGCAGAUGUCGACGUCCUCAGGGGUGAGGUUCUGCUGCUCGAUCUUGCGGUCUCCAUGGACGGGCUCGAACAAUGCGUAGAGCUGCAUCAUCUCCUCGAAAUGGAGAAGGUACCAUGCCCUGAUCGUGUAUUCCGCCCUCUGACAUAGCCUCCCGAACUCCUCCUUCUCCUUCUUCCCCUCUGCAUUAUUAUCACAAUUAUAUUUGAACCAUACACCAAUGAAGAAGAUUAUGAAUCGAAGAACGUACCAAUGCGGUUGGAUAAAGCAGCAACGAUCUUGCGCUUCACAAUUGGAAUCACCGAUUCCCUCUCCAAUCUUAUUAUAUCCUUCUUCUUCUUCCCCAUCUCUGCUUAAUUAAUUCCUCUUCAGCACUUCAUGCAAUCAUCAUUCUCGUAAAAACUAAUUUCUCCCAUAAUCAAGAUAAUCACAAUUGAUCCUCUUCUUCCUAGCUAGCUCCUCUGCAAUUUUUUUUAUAAAUUCUACGGAACUAUGCCCGCUAGUUGAUCACCAACGACAGAGUAUAAACAAGAUAUUUCCUUGUAAUGUACUGCUGAUCAACAAUAAUUAAACGCCAACCCCCUGGAAGAAGGAAGAUCAAUGACGAAGAAAUGAAGCCAGCAAUGAGCUAUCCUCCGAUCCUAAUAAUUAUCAGACAAUAUUAGCAUCCCCCAUGCAACAGCUUCAAGACGUAGCCCCAUAAUCAAUGGCAGGGAUGUAAUAUUGCCUAAUUGCUAUGUCAUCUCUCCAACCAUUUUUGUGAAAACGCUUUUAUAGAUGUGAAGCUCUGUACAUUGAUAAAUGACAGCAGUCUUUUUUUAUUAAUAAAUAAGUUAAAUAAUUACAUAAAAUGAAUAAAGAAAUUAUGGAACAUCAAUGAAUGAUUGAACAAAUAAAUUUAACAAGCAAGUCGAGAGGUAGGAACGGCAAUGAGUCGGGUGGCACGAGGAGCAGUGAGUCCGAAGACAUCAGUCAUAUCAACUUCGUCGGGUUUCAUGCCAUAAGGUAACUCCCAGUUAAAGUCGUGGAGAAGGUGAGCCAUUCCAAGUUCGAUUGCGUACAAGCCGAGUUGCAUACCAGGACAUGACCUACGACCCGAACCGAAAGGCAAGAACUCAAAGUUGUUCCCCUUGAAGUCAGGCAUGCCUUCGUUCAAGAACCUUGAUGGGAUGAACUCGUCAGGAUUGGACCAAGAGUUGGGGUCCCGGGCUAUAGCAAAAGCAUUAACCAUGACUCGAGACCUUUUGGGGAUGAAGUAGCCAGACACCUCCACAUCCUCAGCAGUCUCGUGGAGGAGAAGAGGGAUCGCAGGGUGGAGGCGGAGAGUCUCUUUCAAAAUGCACUUGAGGAAUGUUAACUUCUCCAAGUCCGUCUCUUCCACGUGGCGGUUGAGCCCUACAACGUCAGAGAGCUCUUGUUGGACCCGCUUCAAAUCUUGAGGACUCUUCAACAGCUCGGCCAUAGCCCACUCGAUUAUGGAAGCAACAGUCUCUGUACCACCAAACAUGACAUCCAUGAUAAUCGCUUUGAUGUUGUCUUUGGUGAGCUUAAUUGUGGUGGAGUCAGCUGUGUCGAGGACAAGAUUGGAAUUAUUUGUUGGUUGAUCAUGAGGAGUGUAGAAAGCAAGCAACUCGUCAACCAUGUCGGGAUUACGAACGUCAUGAUCUUGAGUACGAAGAUGAUCAUCCAUGAUUUGGUCGAUGAAGUUGUCGAGGGAGGACCUUGCGUUGACCAUCCUAGGACGAAGGCCUUGCGGGUCCAUCCAACCAAGAAAGGGGAUGAAAUCAGCAAUGUUGAAAGCCCCAAAGAGUCUGGAGAACUCUUGGAGUAUCUUAAUAAACUCCUGCAUCUGAUUAUUCAUCUUGGUGGAAGUGCCAAAUGCGGCCUUAUAAGUAAGAUUCAUGGUGAAGGUGAAUAUAAGCUCCCCGACGUUGAUGGGGUUUCCAGCUGGGUUGGCGGCCACAGUCUGAACCAUGGAAGAGAUCUCGUCCCUAACGGAGUCCCAAGACUCAGCCCUCCUCCGGCUAAAGAGCUUCAUGACAGUGAUCUUUCUCAUCUGACGCCAAAAGGGACCGUAGUUAGCAAAUGCCAUAUCAGAACGGUCGUAGGUGAGGUAGUUGAUGGCGAUGUUUGUAGGUCGGUUGGAGAAGAUGUUGUCGUGGACCUUGAGAACUUGCUUGGCUAUAUCAGGGGAGGAGACAGUCAUCAUAUGGAUGUUCCCCAUACGAAGAUGGAACAAGCCCCCGUAUUGCUUGGCAAGUUUGGCUAAGCCAUGGUGUGUGAGUUGGUCCAUCAUUAACAUGUUCCCUAUGAUUGGGAGUCCUUUGGGGCCUGGUGGGAGAGGUAGGCGGCUGCUGCGGCCACGGCGGAGGAACAUCGUCAAUAGGAGGAUGGAAGGAAUAACGAUGAGGAGAAAUACAUAUACUAGGAGAGAAGCCAUAUAUGUGUAAGUAGUAGCUCUUUUGUACGACUGUUAGAUGUUUGGAGAGAACGAGAGUAAUUUGCUAGUGAGGAUGGAUGGAUGAAGUGCUAGCUAGCUAGAAAAGGUAGUUUGGAUGAAUAUUGAUGGAUACAUUUCGACUAGAUUGAUGGGGUAUUUAUAUGUUGUUAGUUUAGUUUAGAGGACCGGUGAUUGGUCAAGGUCUACUAGUAGUAUUACUGCGUAUAUGGGAGGUACGUGUUUGUUCCAAAAUACUAUUGAUUUGAGAGUUCUUUCUUUCGGAUGAAUCAGACAACUAAUCAAACGGUCCAAAAUCAUUUUGACCAAUUUCAAUCUAACGGUAAGAGUUCUACCAGUGGUAUAAUGGGAAUUUUAAAAAGUAUUAUCUCUUUAAACAUUUCUUUCUCUCUUCUCUCUCUACCCUUUUCACGUAAACUGGAUAUAAUAAUUAUAUAAUAAUGAUGUAAUAAUGACGUAAUAUUGAUAUAAUAAUUUUAUAUAAAAUCGACAUAAAGAGCCUAUUAAAAGGAUAUAAUAAAAGCGCAUAACAGACUCAUAAAGUAUAUAUAUCAUGGACAUAAAAGAGUGGUAAACUGGACAUAACGAUGAUGAAUUCAACUAAUCGUAAGGUGGACUAACAACGACAUAACGAGUCUGUCAAAUGGUUAUAUUAGCGACAUAACAUGCUCGUACAAUGACCGCACUUAUGUGAUUUAUUUUCAAUUUUUUUUAUUCCAAAACUACCCCUAUUCAAGUCAAUUCGUUUGACUCAUUUCAGUUGUUGGAUGAAAGUUGACGCAAAAAUGACAUGAUCCAACGGCCCACAAUCUGUCAGAUUAAUCCGACGGAAAGGGCUCUCGGAUCAAUAGCCGAGUUAGGUGUUUGUCGGCGUACGUCUCCAACUUUGAAUAGCAGGGGUAUACUAUUCUUCAGCCUGGUCGCCUCUUUAAUUAUUUUAAUUUGCACUACUUGCAAUUGCAUGCAUGUUCUAAUUAAUUACGUACAAAUCAUUUGGUUUAAACUAUUAUAUAACUCUCUACAAGUGGCAUUAAUUCUUUAUGUACACGUCCUGACUUUCAUUUUCCUUACUUGGACCCGUCAAUUUCCCAUGUACGUACGUCUCCAGUAAAGCCUUUGAUUUCUCUGUGACCUCGCUCUGAUCAUUUCUAUUUUGUGAAACGAAUAAUAAAAUUUUUGUUUGUAUUUGUGAACCGAAUUGAGAAUUCGACAUGAAUAAUUAAACAAAUGGGGUUUCUGGUAAUCCGUACCCCGAGCGAGGGUUUGACCACAUUUUGAUAAAUAAUUAUAAUAAUAUGUAAUUAGUUAUAAUCAUUUGUAACUAAUUACACAAUUAAAUAACUAAUUAUAAUUAUUUGUAACUAAUUAUACUUAUAAUUAUCUCUAACUAGCUAGUCAUAGAAUUUUAUAACCACUUAUUUUGUCUACAACCUAACUAGUUAUUAGACUCUAAGAAUAACUAAUAGUUCAACUCCUUGAUUCAUUAAUAUCAUUUAUAAGAUUAAAUAGCUCAUCGUGCCAUUUUCAUAAUGUUGUCACUGGUUUUUGCUAUUGUAGUAAUUAAUAAAACGUUGUGUAUAUUUGAAACCAACCUCUCCUGUUUAAAACAUUAAUCGUCCGUUGACAAGCGAGAAUGUAAAAUGAAAUUUGGAUGGAAAUGAAAAAGUUAGUUUUCAAUAUGUACGUCGUUUGAAUAUAAGUUUUCCGUUUAAAUAAGAAAGUAUUCAGAAUUCCAUUUCACAUUCCAGCUUUCAAACGGACCAUGAGUAUUAAACAGUUCGACCAAGUAUAACCAGUCACCAAUGUGAUUACUCUAAUAACUUUUACAUAGGAAAGAGAGAAAAGACGAUUUACUGAACAACCAAUUCAUCCCCAACCAACUUGAAUGUCAUCCUUGACUCGUGGGCUAUUGCGCACAUUCUGUUCAUCUACCUAAUACAUCUCGAUAACCAUAUAUAGAUUAGAAUCCUAUUAUAUAUUAACCAUUUUCAUAUAUUUAAUUGCCUCGGAUCAACUUUUUCUACAUUUUCUUAUGUUUUUCUUUGAGUUAAGUUUAAUCGUAUUUUUCACUAUUAAUGAUUAAAAUACAUCUUUGAAGUAGAUUGUAUAUAUUUAAUGUAUAUACCACACACUCAUGCAUUACAUAAAAAUCGAUUUUAUAUACAAUACUGUAUCACCUCGUUAAUUAUUGCGAUGUAUAUAAUCUCAAUAUUCGUAUCAAAUUAGUGAAGAGUAAUUCAUUAAAAUUAUGAUCUUCAUACAUGUAGUAACAUCGUAACAUAGUCUGAUGGUUUUGAUAUUUUUUUUGUUCGGGUCGGGGCCGGCCAAGGCUUUACCCGAAUAAUGUGAAAACCUGAAUCUAUAUAUUGUGUAGAUCCGACCUCGACCUAAGCCUAUUUAGUUUACCCAAAAAAAGGUUGAUCGGGUCGGGCUAAGUCCGCUCGAAAUCCAACUCGCUUCUCUAUUCGUACUCACUUUAAACUCAUCUCAUCAUCCACAACACAGUGUAAUUUUAUCUAACAAAUUCUACAUGUGGAGAGUGAAAACUGAAAUCCGGAGAAGAACUAUAUUUCCUUGGUUAGAACUGUUUAACUUGAGUGCGUAUGUCUUUUUCAUCAACACAUGUUUGUGGCUCCAAAGGUGGAAAAAGAAAGUUGAAAUCUUAGGAUUAAUAAAAAAAAUUUGAAAUUGAAGAGGAAAAAAAGGAGGGAAUCCUUUUAAUGAAUUUUAUAUAAUUUUAAUUAAUAAUAUAUAUUAUUCUUCAUUUAUAUGUCGAUUUAACAAUUAAAAUUAUAACAACUAUAUUAUCUUAUGUACAUAUUUAUAUAUAAUAAUAAAAUUAGUAUAACAAAAUAUAAAAAUAUAUAAUAUUAGUUAACAUAAUUUUUAUUUUUAAUUACAUGACUAAAUUCCGUUAAUGGGCUGAAAAAAAAAUAGUUUAGAAUAAUAUGUAUGUUACACUACCCANNNNNNNNNNNNNNNNNNNNNNNNNNNNNNNNNNNNNNNNNNNNNNNNNNNNNNNNNNNNNNNNNNNNNNNNNNNNNNNNNNNNNNNNNNNNNNNNNNNNNNNNNNNNNNNNNNNNNNNNNNNNNNNNNNNNNNNNNNNNNNNNNNNNNNNNNNNNNNNNNNNNNNNNNNNNNNNNNNNNNNNNNNNNNNNNNNNNNNNNNNNNNNNNNNNNNNNNNNNNNNNNNNNNNNNNNNNNNNNNNNNNNNNNNNNNNNNNNNNNNNNNNNNNAAUAUAUAUUUGGAGUCAUACAUAGAACUUUGACGGGUCCAAAGGAUCUUCAAUAAAAUGAAAGUGAGGACGUAGCUGCUGGUUGGCUGCAAUCAUGUAUACAUACAUGUGUGAAUAAUUCCACUUGCAUGCAAUUUUAUAUAAUUAAUUGGUUAGAAUAUAUAUAUAUAUAGUACUUGCAACUGGACAUUAAAAUAUGCGAGGGGAAAUGAAUUGCAAGACUAGCAGCUGCUAUACCUAUUCAAACUUGGUGACGCCAACAACCCAUGCCGCAUGCAGUAAUAUAAUAUUUCUACGUACUCGUAGUCGUAGACCUUGACCGAUGCUCUAAACUCUCUUACAAAAUCGUUCCCUUUCCUAAUUUCCCUCUCAACAACAAUAUAUAUAUAAUACCCCAUCGGCCUAGCUAUACUCAAUCCAAAUAAAUAUAUCCAAACUCCGAAAGCAAAGUAGCUAGCCAUCAUCACUUCAUCGAUCCUUACUAGCAAAUUAGUUACACAUCUGACCUAACCAUCCCAUUUAGAGCUCUUAUAUACGUACUUCCACUAUGGGUUCUCUCCUCCUAGUAUUCGUAUUUCUCCUCAUCGUUAUCCCUUCCAUCCUCCUAAUAUUGAUGAUGUUCCUCCGCCGUGGCCGCACCACCAGCCUACUGCCUCUCCCACCGGGCCCCAAAGGACUCCCAAUCAUUGGGAACAUGUUAAUGAUGGACCAACUCACACACCAUGGCUUAUCCAAACUUGCUAAGCAAUACGGCGGAUUGUUCCAUCUUCGUAUGGGGAACAUCCAUAUGAUGACUGUCUCCUCCCCUGAUAUAGCCAAGCAAGUUCUCAAGGUCCACGACAACAUCUUCUCCAACCGACCUACAAACAUCGCCAUCAACUACCUCACCUACGACCGUUCUGAUAUGGCAUUUGCUAACUACGGUCCCUUUUGGCGUCAGAUGAGAAAGAUCACUGUCAUGAAGCUCUUUAGCCGGAGGAGGGCUGAGUCUUGGGACUCCGUUAGGGACGAGAUCUCUUCCAUGGUUCAGACUGUGGCCGCCAACCCAGCUGGAAACCCCAUCAACGUCGGGGAGCUUAUAUUCACCUUCACCAUGAAUCUUACUUAUAAGGCCGCCUUUGGCACCUCCACCAAGAUGAAUGAUCAGAUGCAGGAGUUCAUUAAGAUACUCCAAGAGUUCUCCAGACUCUUUGGGGCUUUCAACAUUGCUGAUUUCAUCCCCUUUCUUGGUUGGAUGGACCCGCAAGGCCUUCGUCCUAGGAUGGUCAACGCAAGGUCCUCCCUCGACAACUUCAUCGACCAAAUCAUGGAUGAUCAUCUUCGCACUCAAGAUCAUGACGUUCGUAAUCCCGACAUGGUUGACGAGUUGCUUGCUUUCUACACUCCUCAUGAUCAACCAACAAAUAAUUCCAAUCUUGUCCUCGACGCAGCUGACUCCACCACUACUGCACCAAUUAAGCUCACCAAAGACAACAUCAAAGCCAUUAUCAUGGAUGUCAUGUUUGGUGGUACCGAGACUGUUGCUUCCAUAAUCGAGUGGGCUAUGGCCGAGCUGUUGAAGAGUCCUCAAGAUUUGAAGCGGGUNNNNNNNNNNNNNNNNNNNNNNNNNNNNNNNNNNNNNNNNNNNNNNNNNNNNNNNNNNNNNNNNNNNNNNNNNNNNNNNNNNNNNNNNNNNNNNNNNNNNNNNNNNNNNNNNNNNNNNNNNNNNNNNNNNNNNNNNNNNNNNNNNNNNNNNNNNNNNNNNNNNNNNNNNNNNNNNNNNNNNNNAUUCAUUUUAUGUAAUUAUUUAACUUAUUUAUUAAUAAAAAAGACUGCUGUCAUUUAUCAAUGUACAGAGCUUCACAUCUAUAAAAGCGUUUUCACAAAAAUGGUUGGAGAGAUGACAUAGCAAUUAGGCAAUAUUACAUCCCUGCCAUUGAUUAUGGGGCUACGUCUUGAAGCUGUUGCAUGGGGGAUGCUACCUGACUUAUUGCCGUUCCUACCUCUCGACUUGCUUGUUAAAUUUAUUUGUUCAAUCAUUCAUUGAUGUUCCAUAAUUUCUUUAUUCAUUUUAUGUAAUUAUUUAACUUAUUUAUUAAUAAAAAAGACUGCUGUCAUUUAUCAAUGUACAGAGCUUCACAUCUAUAAAAGCGUUUUCACAAAAAUGGUUGGAGAGAUGACAUAGCAAUUAGGCAAUAUUACAUCCCUGCCAUUGAUUAUGGGGCUACGUCUUGUAGCUGUCUUGAAGCUGUUGCAUGGGGGAUGCUACCUGACUUAUUGCCGUUCCUACCUCUCGACUUGCUUGUUAAACUAACAUACGUAACUUAAGAAAACAAGACCGGCACGUCGAAGAAGAUACAUCUACAUCUCAAGCAACCAAGUAGGAGUCAGAGGCUAAACUACAGCAUCUCAACUUUUUGAAAAAUUUGUUUAUUUAAUGAUGCAUUGUUGUUCCAUGAUUUCUUCAUUCAUUUUAUGUAAUUAUUUAACUUAUUGAUUAAUACAAGAUUCUGACAUUGUUCAUGUUUGUACGUUGAUAUCACUGUGUGAUGAACAAUGCGUUUUGUACAAGAUAUAAACACCCACAUCCAACCCAGGAAAAAAAAACAAGAAGUGCAGCAAAAGUUGCUGCAAACACAACAUCCCCAGAAAACAGGAAUGCCCCACAGCCUCAAAUCCGGGAAAAAAAACAUAAUUGUUGGGUUAUAAGUAUUUCAGAGCGUUCUCGAAGCCUCUUCAAAUUCAUUAAAAUUUUGAUUUGAAGGUUUAAUAAUUUUAUCUUACGAAAAAAUUCCUUUAAACCAUAAACUCUGGUAUAGGAUGGGAAUGUUUUUUACGAUAAGUGAUUACAAUCACGACUUAGCCAGACCGACUACUCUUACACAAAGGCUAUUAAAGCUAAAGAAGUAACGACUGCUCUUACACAAAGGCUAUUAAAGCUAAAGAAGUAACGACGAAGUUCGAGUCAAUUUGCGCACCAAGACCAUCUGCAGUUUCGUAAAGAUAGAUAAUUUCCCUAAACAAUAGGCAUAAUAAUAAUAAUAAAAAACAAGAUUAGGAAAGUGUAAUUUACCAUGCAACUUAAGCACUGCAAAAUAAUAACAAAAAAUCAGCAAUUGAACCACAUAAGUUCACUUGCGAACAUUUUACACGUACCGCCUUCCAAAAAUGGAAAACCAAGUGCCUCUCCCCUUUUAACAAUGCCCCCGCUUUACAACUGCCAUAAACACCACCUUAUCUAUUCCAUGCUUUGCUGUGCUUAUUCGAUUGCCCAUAGACCGCAACCACCAUCAUGACAUCUAACUGUACAACCAUUCAACUGUUUAGGACUUGGGAAGAAGAGUUCAUACAGAAAUAACAGACUGAAUCUUAACUCACCAAACUCAGCAGCCAUUUCAUGGUGUCAUUGGGAACUAACACCCUGCUUCGCCUUGAGGACUACUUCUUCGGUGGUGGUGCCAAUUAUCUCAUUAGCCCUUUUCAGCCCUACGCAGUAGUACCUCGAAAGGGAAUCCUGUUUUUUCCCCACAUCUUAGUCACUGCCAUUAACCCCCCACAUGAAACAUAAUAACAUCAAGAGAGACAACUUACCCUAGCAACAAUGCCAAGCUUCUCCAGUUUCUCUACUGCAUCGUCUACAUCGAAAUUACAGCUCUCCCCAAACUCUUCUUUUAGUAAUUCCUCGCACCGCAAAUCUAGAUCCUAUAAUCCAAGAGCAUUUUACUCAGCAACAUCCAAACUCAACCAAAUUCAACAUUUGCCCAUGAAAGGGAGCAUCACACUUACCUCCCUAGUAGCCUUGCCUUGUUCCAUCAAUAUGAAGAAUGAAAUAAUCACCUCUUUCACCUGACACAUGAUAACACAACAAGACUAUUUAGAGGGCCUUCGCAACUAGCAUCACAACAUUACAUAAUUUGAGACAAACAAAAAAAUACAAAUGACACACGUAAUUAAUUUGCUUCAAAUCAUAGGACAGAAAGAAUAAAACUUCAAACUCACUUCUUGCUGAAUUACAUCGUCACACAGGUGAAGAAGAGUGCCCUUCCCACUGUCUAGCUGUUUGUCAUACAUAGACUGGGUGAUCAAGUUUUGAUAUGCAGCCAAGUUUUGCUGGUAACUGUAGUUUUAAAGUAGCCCAACUGGUCAUCUCAUACAAGGAAAAUGGAAAAUAUAGAGGGACAACUGUAGCAAGGAUUCGUCAUAUCUGUGUCGAAACAAAGACAACAAAACUGCAGAUAGCACUUACGUGAAGUAUGUCUUGGCACAGUAGCCAACAACUGUUGAGAGGACAGCAAACAUAACCCAGAGAUCGUCCUUGGGUGAUUCAAUAGAACUAACUACAGCAACCUGUUAGAUUGGAAUGAGCAGGAGGCCAAAAGAUAAUUAGACAAAUCUUGAAGGGAACAUAACAGUGAACAAAAAGAGACCUAUUUGUCCGAAUCUCACCAGUCCCACUAUAGCAGAAACUAAGAACGUCACCCAGUCCAUUGGAGUUAACCCAGGGUUUCUCUUUUCUGGCUGUCAAUGCAGAAAACUUCAGUAUUAAUUUCAUACAGGUUGUAAAAUACCAAGAAACCAAACAACAUGUGUCCCAUGUGCCUUUCAUAUAUGUGCAUUUAUACGUGAGCACGGGGAGAGAAUCUUACAAGAACUAUUUCCAUAUCAGCCAUUGGUAUGUUUUUGAAAUGCUUUACAUACACUCCACGUUCUAGUUUUUCCUUGGUACUUGCUCGCCUGGACAUAUCAUUCUGGCAUUGUUAAUAUUGGUCUCACCCCACAAAAUUGAAGGUACACCCCAAUCAGAGCAAAAGUAUUGAAUCAAAACCAAUCAAAGCAGUCUGGAUCCUAUAAGCUAUUAUAUAAAAAUAAUGUGCAUUGGUCAGAUCACAAAUUAUUGAAAAAAGAGCACAAGAAUCCAGUUUAAAUGUACUAUGACAUGCUCACAGUUGUGAAAGUCCCAAUGCCAGAUAGUUUUAACAGCUAGCUGUCGUCGUAACUAAGAAAAACUGAAGACAGUAGUUCAGAUUCCAAUCAACAAGAGAAAAAUGGAUGUAUCGUCAUUACCUAUAAACAACUAUUAUCCUGUCGAACGUAGGCUCUUGAAUUGUUGUCUUGCUCAGCAAAUUCCCCAAGCUGAGAUAACAAAGGAGUGCAUUGAAGUCAGUAAGAAGCAAACAAUCAGAACAACUAUUAUAUCAAAACUAAGACAAAUUACUUUGAUCGCCUUGACGAAUUAAUUGAAGACCAAGUUUCAUUUAUAGGCAGGACACAAGAAUGAAAGAAGAAGAAAAUUGACAGGCGGUCUGUCUCGUGAAAAGUUCGAUCUUUCAUGUGUUUUCCACUCCAAUGCACCAACAUGAAAAAUAUCGAACCUAAGUUCCAUAUUUUCAAGGCGGAUGCGUUCCACAAAAAAUUCGUCCUUGUUGUCUUCGGAACUAUUGUCGUCAUCUUUCGUUGGGUCUCUCCGUUGUUUUUUAGGCUUUCGCGAGAGAAAUUUCCCCAACCUGCAUCAACGAAAAGUUACGUAGCUACGCGAUGAGGAACUGGAUAAAAGAGACAAAGAGGAAGUAGAAACAGUACUUCACCCUAACCAAAUUACUGUUGCAUUGGUUAUACAUUAGAUAUUGAUUCCCUGUAGUUAUAACUUAUAAGACUAAUUGCAUUAUGUACAAAUUGAUGUCUUUAACCACGCCAGAACUGCUUACCUCGUAACCCUUAAGAGAUAUGCCCAAAAACGACCGAUAAGCAUGUCUACUUUCUCCAUGAAAAAAUAGCCAGUUGUUUGAUCAAUUCCAAUGCCACGACGAAAGAUAACAUACUAGGAAAAAAAAGAAAAGGAAAAUACUUGCAUUAGAUUUAUUGAGAGGCCAAGUCAUUAGAAGGGAGAACCAUGUAGAAUUUGUUCAUCAUGUCAAUAAAUUAUAACCAGAUGUUUCCUUAAACUGAACUUAAAUCUUAGUUACAUGCUUCCCAUUAAAAAUAUGAUCCAACCAGAAGGCUACAGUGAGUAUAGUUCAGUCAGAGAAAUUAAGAAAAUAUUCGUCAUUAACUGUCCAGGACAAAACAAUGACCUUGCAAGUCUCCUAUCUUAAACUAUGUUCAAAAAGUUCACGCAUGAGCAACUGCCAAGUUACAUCCCUUAGUUGCGCUCAUUUAGAGGUUUCAAACAACUUCUGGCAAACACCAAGAGUAACUGGAGAAGGGGAGGAAGGUUGGUUUACCUUGUUUGCAAAAUCUGGAAGGUUGGAAUGAGCAUGGUUCUUGAAAUAAGUGGUCAAAAGCUUCUUGUCAAGCUACAAGUAAGCAUAAAGCAGAACCUCCAAAUAAGCAAAGGUCAAAUACAACUGCAAUCCAAACCUCAAAGGGAUUAGCCUAGCCUAGCCUAGCUGACUAACAGUAUUGUCUUGACCACCCUAGUUUCAAGGACGUUACUUUCACUAGUUGAAAUCUAAAGAAUGCUAAAGGCAAAGCAUGAGGAGUAUCACUAACCUUGGACUCGUCCACCUUUAUUGGGAGAUUAGAAAGAUACUGGCCAGAGAGAGCAAUUUCAAUCUCCUCAUCAGUUGCUAUUUUGAAGUUACUCUUUUCCAUCACCUGAGGAAAAACUCAAUGAGAAAUCUAAAAAAAGAACAAAAAGAAACAUAUUUUGUAUCUGUUGAAUAUCCUUUUAUUUGUUGGGCGAGAUGUCCAAGAACAGUCACUGUAGAAGGAAGGAAGGAAGGGGGGCGGAGAGAAAAAAAGCACCUGAAACAAAUAGGUAAGGAAAUUCUGUUCGAGUGUAAGGAUAUCAUCUGAAGUGAGGUGCUGUUGUUUCAAUUUCUCUUCUCCAGACACAGGGUCGAACAGAGAAUACAGUUGCUGAAAAAUCCAAGUUGGUAUCACAUUAGAAUGGAAAAAGAAAGGUAAUUUGAAGAGAGAAUGGGAAUAAAGGGGGGAGUUACCAUGAGAUCUUCAAACUGGAGAAGGUACCAGGCUCGAAUAGUGUACUCAACUCGCUUGCAGAGCUUAAGGAACUCGGCACGGUCAGAGCUGUGUUCUGCACAAAUUUCUCGAAUUUAGGGGAAACAGAGAGAGAGAGAGAAUGGAUACAUUUGGAAGGGAAGAGAGGAGGGAAUACCGAUGAGAUUGGCUAAGGGCAUGAUGAGCUUGGGGUUAAGAAUUGGGAUGAAGGGUUCCAUGGGAUGACGGAUUCCUUCUCCAGACGAAUUACUUCUCUUUUCGUGGCUGGCUUGUCGUUCGCCGGCGUCGGCGUCGGCUUGUGGGUAUUGUUCAUGAGGAGUGGAUCGUGGUCUUGUUUCUUCUCCUCCAUUUCAAAAGAAUCGGAGAAGCUUUUGAUGAUAUCAAUUGAUUCCAAUUUACAGAAAUUGAGAACAGUAGCUGAAGGAGGAGCAGUGGUGUGUUUAGUUAAUGAUAAUAAUAAUAAUAAGGGGGAUCAUCCGCCAAGCGGUGGGAAUUUUAGGGAGUUAUAUGCUAAUAAAAUAUGCUUAAUUAAGACAAAACAGGACCAGUAACUGUCCCAAUCUAUCUCUGUCGUUAUGAGUCCCUGUGAGCGGUAAUUUCUUACUUUAAUUAAAUGCUUGGAUUUAUUGCAAUUUCUCUAUGGACAAUAUUUACAUACGGACUAUUGCAAUUUCUUCCUCCCUCUCUCUCUCUCUCUCUCUCUCUUGCGUGAAGCUGAUCAGAUUCUUGUUUGGGAGAAGAUUGGUAUCGUUGUUUGACUGAGUUACGAUAUUGUAUGUGAGUUUUGUUCACAUCCGGUAUGAAACCAAACGUUUUCUAUUUUUCCUUUGAAUUAUACUCAGCUAUCUAUGCAUCUUAUCUCAAUCUUUAGUCAAUCUAAAGCCUCAAAGUAGGCUAAUUACAAAUUAAUCUCAUGAACAAAUUGAAUACUCCGUCUUGUUUUGAGAAAUCGCGAACACUUUUAAGUAUAUAAAGCUUAUGGGUUCAGCUGGAAAUUAAAAUCAGAAAGUUCAUCUGCCCCUUACUGGAAUCUAUAGCACGGAAGGAUUUGCAGAAGAGAGAGAGAAAGGGAGAGGAAGACUGGAGAGAGAAAGGGAGACUGGAGAGGAUAAAAAUAGUUAAUACCGUUAAUUUUAUUUACCAUUCAAAUAAUUAAUAAAUUAGGAAAAAAUAAAAAAUAUGUAGCCAAUGGGAUACUACCACGUGGGCUGGGCUGUAGGAAUCCCUACAACCAGACUCAAGGAAGAAAAUAAACCAUCUCGAUCGUUCGUGAUCUUUACUUUGGCAAUUGAAAGACAUUAACUUUUGCAAGUUUACAUUUCUAUUAGGCUUUGGCAAUGGGGUGGGUGUAUUUAUAUUCAUCCCCAUAUUUAUUUGUAAAUUGCAUCCCUAUUUAUGUUUCCAUUUUCAUUUGAAUAUUAAUAUUUAUAUUCAUUUUUAAAUUUAUAAAUCUCUACACAACUUAAUUAAAAAUCAAAAAAAUAAGACUACUACAUCAUCUAAAUCCAAGACAUAAAUACAAAAUAAUCUCACAAACAAGUUCAUUAUCUUUAUUAUAGAUUUAGGGUUAUGUUUGGUAACUAAUAUGUAAAGACUUAGAGGUAUUUUUAUAUAUUGAGUAGGGUAUGGGUAUGGGGCGGAGUACCUAAACUCAUCCCCGUUCUUUUUUGCGGUAUUCCCCAUACCUAACCCGUGACCCGUUCAAUGCGGGUAUUCCCCGUUGCGAUCGAAUCGAAUAGGGUCGAAUACCCGUGGAUACGAAUAAAAUUGCCAAAUCUAAUUUCUAUAUAAAGAUAUAUAAUAUAUGCGUUACAGCUUGUACAAUAUAUUGUUCUAUUUACAUCGCGGCCUAAUGAAUUACUGUAUAUUCUAUGGAAUUUACUUCGAAGGAAUUCGUGCAUAUCCUAUGGAAUUUACUUUGAAUGGGUAGUUCGAUGAUGCCUAUGUUAAAGACCGAAUAAAAAAGUCCGAAAUUUUUGUAAAUUAAUAUAGGAACACAAAGCCUAAAAAGAAUAUGUAUAUUAAGGUGGUUCAUGAAAUCAUCAAUUUUGAAUUAGAUCAGUGUAAUCACCUUUUUGCACAAAUAAUUAGGCAUUAUUGGGGUGACCCGGGCCUUCACCAGGUUGCUGUUGCUAUUGCCAUUUCCUGUUAGUGCAUUGGUUGGGAAGGAGGCACGUUAUCAGCUAAAUAAGAUUUGAUUCUAUGGUCAUCAACUUAUGAUAUUGGAGUUUUACUCUCGACCACGAUAUUUUAUCUUACAGCACAGCAUCACCACAGCCUAUAAUAACUCUCUCCCGAGGAACAAGCAAGAAACAAUGGAUCAAGUAUCUUUCACAGUUCCUACAAGUCUCCACGCGAGUUACAAUUACGGUAGCAAACAAUGGUAUGUAAUGAUGCUACAGGUGACUGCAAAUUGUACUCAUAAGCUGUGACCAUGAACAGCUACAACGUCUGCCGUACAACACAAUGAACACAUUCCAAAACGAUAACAGUUGAUAACAGGGAAUGUCUCUUCCUCCAAGUCUUCGGGGGCAUUAUCUACUUGAAAGCAGCACAAUCAUCGCAAGCAACCAAAGGUAAAGAGUUCAACCGAUCAUUAACUUAUUGUCCUCCAAAAAGGUAUAUGUCGGCACCUCCAAGUUGUACGGUGCAGGCCCCUUGCGUAUCCUUCCAGAGAUGUCGUAAUGAGAUCCAUGGCACGGGCAAAACCAUCCACCGAAAUCACCAGCAUUUGGCAAAGGGAUGCAACCCAGAUGUGUGCACACCCCGAUCACAAUCAGCCACUCCGGGUCCUUCACCCUGUCCCCAUCUGGUUGUGGAUCACGAAGAGAUGCCAACUCAACACUGUUUGCUAGUUUGAUGUCAUCCUCAGUUCUUCGCCUGAUGAAAACUGGUUUCCCACGCCACUUUACCGUCACCGUAGUGCCCGGUUCGAUGCUGGAGAGAUCAACCUCGAGUGAGGCCAAUGCAAGCACAUCCUUACUGGCAGACAUACUGAGCACAAAUUUGAGGAUGAGGAGACGGAUCAAGGAUGCAUAUACAAAUCUUCCACCAGAGAGCACGAAAUAGGCGAAUGCCCGCUUGCUAGGAUCGCCAGGUGGCAUCCGCUCGUGGUUGUAUUCAUCAUAAACUAUCUUAGGUGAAGGAUUCUUAAGAGCAUGCGUAGUUGCUAAGGUGCCAGGCUCUAGACCAUCCCCUUCUUUUGGGGCAAGCGAUCCAGAAGCAAAACCUGAUAGUAAAAAUAGUCAACAUAUAAGGUUAUGUGGCCAUUUAAUCGACCAUCAUAUACAGACACAAAAAGAACAAGUUCUAUCAAGUGAGAAGACAGGUAUAAAAAAACCAUUGUUCACCAUGACUCCGGAUUGAACAUAAAACUCAUCUAGGAUUCUCAAGCUUUAAAAGAUCAUUAAGUAAGAAAUGUAACCUCUACCUAGGAAGUGAAAAAUGAAAAAUACCAACUAAGGAUUCCAUAAUAAGAACAAACUGAAAGCAAGUUGGGCUGGAAUGGAGCCAUGUCCAAACUCUAUUUUCUCACAUCCAAUUCACAAAGACAAAGUCAACGAGUUCGUAGUCAUCCUGAAAUGACUACCACCAGGACGCGAAGAAAUUCAAAACCCUAACUUCAAAUCAGAAGAGAAAUGAAUCAACACAUUACACAUGGCCAACAACAGCCGGGGAGGAGCGCCUAGGCGGCCGCCGCGGGUUCGGCAAGGCAGAAAGAAAACGCCCAAAUUAGUGCGAGGCGGCCUGAAUAAGGCGGAGCUGCUCGGAAUCGACGCGGAAUUGACGCCGCGAGCGCCUCCUCGGCGCCGACACGGAAAAGGCGGACAGCAGGCGGUUUAUAAAAAACAAACAAAAAUAUAAAACUAACCUAAAUAGGCGGACACCCGACUCCAAACCUAGCCUUCCGCCCGCCAUUCUCACCCAUCAUCAACGAUUGACGAUUGACGCCGAGAUUGAAGCUGUCGCCGACUCACUAUGCCACUGCCGAGCUUCCCACCGACGCCGAGCUUGCAGCCGGUCCUCACUCCGACGCAGAACUUGCAGCCGGUCCUCACCCCUCCUUCCAUCUCCUCUCUGUGCAGAGGAUUGACGCCAAGCCUGCCACCGCCGGUCCUCGCUACUCCCUGCCGCCGCCGACGCGUACCACCGAACCAAGGUGAUUGUUUCACCUCUUGUCUUCUCAAAUGGGUGGGAUAAAUGGCUGGAAUUUUAUACCGAUGUCUUCAUUUGUGUGGGAUGACAAAUUUAUUUCAAGAAUUUUAUAACGAAUGGUUUUGACUGGUGUUGGUAUUGGAUAAAUGGCUGGAAGGAAGUGCAGUUCAGUGGGAAAGUAGUUAAAAUAUCCCUUGCCUCUCUUGUAGAUUAUUUUGUUUGAGUUGAUGUAGCUUGAUUUUGAUUAUGCAGCUGAGAAGGAAUCUGAACUGACACACUGACAAAUAAUAAACUACUUGCAAUUGCAGGCUUUUAUUUUCUUGUUGGCCCUAGUGGUAAGAGCAGUUAACAGACCGGUAAAGUAUAUAGUGAUGAGGACUCAAUCAACUAGUAUGUAUUUUUAUGCUUUUAUUCUUAUGCCUUUAUGGUUUAUCUUUCUGGUUGGCCCUAAUGAUAAGAGCAGUUAACAGACCAGUAGAGUAUGAUAGUGAUGAUGAACUCAAUCAACUAGUGUGUAUUCUUAUGCCUUUAUGGUUUAUCACACGUGUGUAUUCUUCUACUCUUCUACGUACAACUUGAACAUUGUUAUUUUGAACUUUAUCAAUAACAAAAAUAUAACCCUGUAAACUUUGCAUUGUUAUACUUGAACUUGCCUAUUUCACUUAAAUCUAUUACAUUUUUCCAAAAACGCCUAAUCGGCCAAGGCGUAAGGGAAGACCUCACCGCCUUCCACAACCUUGACAACAGCUAAGAAGAAACGAUGAUCCCCACGAAUCAAGCUCCAAAACUAGAAAAUUUAGACAUUAGAUGCCAUUUCUGACAUAAUUACCGAGGAAAUUCUGGAGCUUGAAAGGCAUCAAAUUAAAAAUGAGCUAAUUAAGAAAAUGAAAAAAGGAGCAUAAAGGUAUCGAAAUAGGGUGGAAAGCGAUCCAAUAAUUAGAGGAAGGAAACCCUAACCUCGACGAGGAACAUGGAAAGCAAAGUAGUAGCUGGCCAAGCGGUCGGGCUUCAUCUCAUCAGACGAAUCAUCCAAAGCCCCGCGAAGAGGAUUCCGCGAGCCCACCGCGGAGGCAGCCUGGUUGGUUCUCAACGACGGUGAAGACAGAGAUGAGAGGCGGCGCAAUCCAACCCUCAACAUCUUCUUCUGUUACUGUUAGCCUCCUGCAAGCUCCUCCUUAACUCUAGGAUGCUAUAUCUCCUCCGGCUUGCGGCUGGUCAAGAAGUUCGGAUUUUGGACUUAUUCCAACUCCAGACUCCGCCGCUUCGCUCUGCAAAAGUUGGAGCGAAACUUUUUCUCUUAUUUUUUUUUUCUGGGUUCAACGAACGGAGCAUCGAUAUCGAUAUACGAUAUUCGAUCUGAUUUACUUGCCUAUUUCUCCGGCUCAGGUUGUUGCCACAACAUCAGUUAAGUUAUCAGCCGGCUUUUUCUAAUGGGCUCAGCUCUCCAAGCAAGUUUGGCCCAUUAUGUUUCCAUUUAAUUGGCCCAAGCCACUGACAUCAUUUACAACAAGGCGGAAAAGCGAGGUGACGGAGACGACGAGGGAAGAGCCACUCGCCGGCGAGGAUGGACGGUGAGCGAGGUGUAGAAGGAGACACCCCAAAAGAAGAGAGAGCUACAUUCGAUGAAUCGGAGAUAGAGUACGUGAGCUACGGCGGCGAGCAUCACCUACCGCUAAUAAUGGGUCUGGUUGAUCAGGAGCUGAGUGAACCCUACUCCAUCUUCACUUAUCGCUACUUCGUAUACCUAUGGCCCCAGCUUUCCUUUCUGGUAAAAUUUCAGCUGAAUCGAAGUUCUUCUUUCGUGCAAUUCAUUUCAAUUGUAAUUUGAGAUUUUGAGAGAUGGGAAGUUCCUUCCGGCAGGCGUUCCAUAGAGGGAGAUGUGUUGGGACGGUGGUAUGCAAAAUGGGGGAGCAUCGUAAUACUACUUUCAGAGGGUACAUAGCAAUGCUGGUUGUCAUCAAGCCUUAUCGGGGCAAAGGCAUUGGUAAAACCAUAUUCAUUUCACUAUCUGCCAGCAUUCUAGCUUUCAAUUGACAUGCUUUUCUUUCGUUAUAUCCAAGAACAAGGGAGAGGAAAUAGUUUUAGUGCGAUGAGAUAUGCUUGAUUGUGGAAAUGAUGACUUGUUGACUUUGAUGUAAUAUGAUAGCAAUGCUUCAAGGUCUCUGUUGCUAUGUUUUCAUACCUUCUGCUUGUUGUCACAGUUUGGUUAUGUGUUGUUGCAGCUACUGAACUUGUAACCAGAUCGAUCAGAGCAAUGAUGGACUCCGGAUGUGAAGAGGUAUAGAGUAUAGACCCUUUGAUUUGCUCCGAUGGUGUAAUCACUGUGUUCUCUUUUGCUUGCAGUGUGCCUAAUGCAGUAGUGUAAUUAGCAUUUUAUCGCAUUUGUUCUUACAAUUUGUUAAUGAGCCUCCAAGAUAGCAUCUUUACAACUCGUAGUUUUACCAGUUUUGGCAAGAUAGCGCCUUUACGUUCUUGAUUGAGGAUCUAUUGCAUGUAUCAAGUUUGUGAUAUUAUGGCGUAUAUGCCUAAUGAAGAAACAAUGUCUGGUUGUCAUGUUUACGACUAUCCAAGUGGAGUGCUGAUUCUAUCAAGUUGCUUUGAUUGAUCUGUAGGUAACACUGGAAGCAGAAGUAACAAAUAAAGGUGCUCUUGCACUUUAUGGCAGACUGGGGUUCAUCAGGGCGAAACGACUGUUUCAUUACUACUUGAAUGGAGUAGACGCUUUUCGUCUGAAAUUGCGGUUCCCUCAACUUGAGAUGAACCCAUCUGCCAUUAAUUUUCUGGACGAGACACAGAGAUGAGGCCAGAUGGAUCCCAUCGUUCCUUGUAAGUGUAUGCAGAAGCUGUUUCAGGUUCUUUUUGUAACAUUAUUAUACAACAAUUGGAACACUCAAAGGCUUUAUGUUGAGGUGAAUUGAAAAGACUUUUAGUAAUUCCCAAAAUAUCAUGAGAUCAUAUGAUCAAAUGUCUGUAUCUCGACAAAACACUGUUAUGACCUCGUCCCUCAUAUACUUGCUGCGAGCUAGAGCGCAGAGAACAAUAGUAUCAUAAAUGCUGUUGCUAGUUUGUUUCAGAUUUACACUUCACUUAAAGAUAAGCUACCACCAGAACAGGCUGAUACAAUCCGCUGCUAAUACAAGCGCUUUCUGCAAUCAGCUCCACCGCAAUAGCAUGCAAGCCGUUUUAUGUUGCCAUCAGGUCCCAUUACACUAUCAAGCACAUACCCAUAGUCAUACGUCAGCUCCUGCCAAGCAAAAACACAGAAUCAGAAUGUGUUAGUAAACCCAGGAUGGGGCAGUGAACAGAAACGUAUAUCCACAAUAUGCAGAAGUUAGCAGGUCUCACCUGCAAAGGAGGAAUGUUGUCGGCGGCAAACAACACUACACGGGCAAGCCGAACAUCUUGAUGGGAGCUUAGGACACACUGGACAAACAGAUUCGGACUGCAGCUAUGGUUAAUGAACCUAGCUACAUUUCCACUGGGACCUGCAUCGAUGCAGAACUCAGGUCCACUGUCAGAUUUUGACUCCUCUAAUGCAGUGCCUUGUUCACCAACUGGCAGUGAUACAUCACGUAAACGCCUCUGUUUGGACAAAAGAAACAGAGCAUUAGUAAUGACUGGUUAACUUGAUUGUAAGGAGCGUGAUCAGGAAUCGAAAGGGUUAGGUUUGUAGAUAACAAUUCUGUGAAAAAAAAAACUGCAGCCAGAAAUUUGGUAUCAAUGUACCUCCCUCCCUUCCAACCCUCGCAUCGUCUGUAAGCAGUCGAUGUCAAAAAUAUAAUCGUUUACUGUGAGUGAAUCAACAUCUUCUGUUUUCUUGAGCACUCCAACAUACUCACAAACCGGCGACCCAGAACGAAUGAAAUCCCAUGAUCUCACAGCCCAGCCCUUCUUAGGAGUGCGGAACACCUGUUAAGAGAUUGAGUACAAAUUCCAGAUCAGAUUCCAUUGUCAAGACCAAAAAUUGGAAGUGAAUUAGACGGACAAUCGAAACCUCAAGACGAUGCCUCAGUCCCCUCUGAGAUGUUCUGUUAACGCAGCCUGGUCCACAUCCGCAAGAUGGACCACAUUCAAAUACAACAUCCCGUGCCUCAAUUAGCCUGACCACGGGUAAAUAAAAGUAUUAACAGUCUAUGCUACAACUAAGACGUAAAUUAAGCCAGAUUAAUCAUGCCAAACAAUACUACCUGCCACCAUCGCGAUGCACAUAUGGAAAAUCUGAGCCGUUAAGCUUUGCACAAGCACAUGUCCUGGAAUCCACACAGGUUCCUUUGCAAUUGCAUCCGGCAGUGUUUGUUGGGAGCUUCACAUUCUUGGAUACUCGAAUAGACUUCAGAUAAGUGAAACCUGAAUUUUACCAUCAAUAACAGGAAAGAAGAGGCUUAACUUUUCCUGAUGCCUCUACAGGUAUUUAGCAGGAUUUUAAACUACCACUAGAAGAAGUGGAUUAAGAAGAAUGCUCAACGAUUGACAUAUGGACACAAUUGCAGAAUAUACGAAGUUUCAACUUGCCUGUUGGCGGAACAGGUGGAUCAUCAA
rnacentral:lncRNA from 1 species